CACGAAGGCACAACCAUGGUUUCGCAUCACCAAACUCGAAUUAUUCACCCAGCGCAAAGAAGCACGGGUUCUCAUCGUCAAGAUUCGCCACCAGCAACACCCAUCUCCGGUUCGAGAGAAGUUAGCUGGACGGAUGAGUCCAAUUUUGUUGUUCUUUAGCUUAAUUGAUUAUUAUUGUCCCCUGGGGAUGAACUCUGCCUGUUGGUUCAUUCCCUUCGAUAGCUGUUUGUCUUUUAAGAUUAUAUAUGUAUCAGGGUUCCAUUUUGUUGACUCUAAGCAAGCUCACUUGGCGUUGUGCUCCAGUUCAUGCCUACUGCAAAGCAGCAGGAAAACAAACCUCUGAACAUCAGAAUGUUGCACACACAUUAUCCAUAACCAUCACAACACAAUUCACGACACAUCUAGCACUCGAUGGUGGUCAGCAGGCGCCGGUCUUGGACUCUUGCGGUCUGCUCGCUUCAAGCCGGCUGAAAAGUUGAAGCGGAUGUUUGGUGGCUGAUAAGCCGGCUGAAUAAUCUGAAGGGAACAGGCCGUUGGUGUCGUUGGCCGCGCGCGCCGUGGCGUCGGUCGGGGGCCAGCAGCCUGUCAGAGCAACCGGCUGCUGUGGCGACCUGGAGGCUGCCUCAGUUUGUUCCGAUGUGGCUGCGCGGGGUCGCUGCAGUGCUGCUCUUCCUUCUCGACGGCCUAGGCAAGCCGGGGUGCUGAGCGGCAAGCUGCCCUAUUGUAGAGCACCCCUCAUGCACGGCUCCGGCUCCUAUUGUAGAGCUACUGUUCUGCCCUGUAGCGAGGAGCCAAAACGCGUAUCGAUGCUUAAGAUGAACCGGGGAAGAGGGGGAGCCGGUGGAUCUAGAAAAUAUGGCUUACCCGACUCCAACUCUAGCACGCGCUAUGAUGCGUGGAGCCGGAGUCAGCAGGAGCUGUGCCAAACAGGCCCUUAUUGAUCUCAUAGGGAUAACAUAUGUAUAUAAUAUUGGUUAGGUGAGAGUGACUAUAUAAGCAAAUCGUCUCAUAGUAUCAUCUAGGCAUGCUAAUGGGUUGAAACCCGCCCCAACCCCCGCCGCAACCCGCAAUAAAUUAACUCAUUCACCCACCCUGCCCCGCUCCAUAAUUCUAUUGUCUAAACCCAACCUAACCCGCUCCACCAAAUGAUAUAAUCCAUGGGUUUGGUAUAUGAACCUACGAGUUUCAUAUAAACUCGCAUUUGCACCUUAAAAUUUUAUAGAGAAAUUGACUGAAAUUUGUUGUAGAUGAAUCAAUUUCAUAGUCCCCUACUUUGUGCACGGUAGUGCAACUGGAGUAUAUAUGUGGGCUCGCGUCAAGAGUUGGACCCUAAAGCUAAAACCUCACAUUCACACUAUAAUUUUAGAGAAAUUGAAUGAAAUUUGUUCCAGAUGAAUCAGUUUCACAGUCCUCUACUUUGUGCAAGGUAGUGCAACUGGACUAUAUAUGUGGGCCCCACGUCAAGAGCCGGACCCUAAAGCUAAAACCUCGCGUUCACACCUGAAAAUUUUAGAGAAAUUGACUGAAAUUUGUUGCAGAUAAAUCAGUUUGACAGUCCGCUACUUUGUGCAAGGUAGUGCGGCUGGAUUUAUAUAUGGGCCCCACAUCAAGAGCCGGACCCUAAAACUAAAAUCUCGCAUUCACACCUUAAAGUUUUAGAGGAAUUGAUCGAAAUUUGCUGGAGUUGAAUCAGUUUGACAGUUCACUGCUUUGUGCAAGGUAGUGUGCUGUACUUAUAUACGGGCCUCGCAUCAAGAGUCGGACCUGAAACUAAAAACUCAUGUUCACACCUUAAAAAUUGAUCAAAAUUUGCUGGUGAUGAAUCAAUUUGACAGUGCGCUACUUUGUGCAAAGUACUGUGACUGAAUCAACAUAUGGAUCCGACGUCAAGAGCCGAAACUUGAAACUUAAACAUAUGAGUUAAACCCAUACGAACUCAAACAAAAAAAACCAGUUCCAACCUACCCAACCCGCAUUUGCGAUAUAUCUAACCCGUCCCAACCCAUUAGAUACUAAAACCCAUUUAACCCAUUCAAACACAACCCGCGUUACAAUCUGCCCCAUAAAACCCAUUGAACCGCCCCCAUUAGCAGGCCUAGUAUCAUCCUGUAUUUGACUACUUUAGUCUCUAUGGGCCACGAUGCUAUCAAAAUUCAUUGAAUUUAAGUAUGUUUUGAAUUAUUUUCCACUGGAUGCGAGAUGGCCUUUUAGAAGUUGGGCAUCCUAUAAUUUGACGUUUGCUAGAUGUCUUAUAUUAAUUACUAUUUAGUAACUCUUAUCUAUUUUUUUAUUAAAUAUUUGUAGAAAAUAUCAUCAAUAUAUUAAAUGGCCUAAUAUUAACAAACUAACUUCUAUCUCUGCUUCAUGUUUCACUACUUUCAAGGCUUCUCUUUAAGUUAGAUUCUUUUUCAUUAAGCAAAUGCUGUGAUCAUGAUAGUAAAUAGUAGCCACACGUUGAAAAAAGCUCAACAAGCUUGUAGUUAAGCUGAACACUUUUUUGACCAAAUGGAAUGACCACGAUACUAUUCACAUGUCCAAAGAAUGUCAACAAGCUUGUAGUUAAGAUAUAAUCCUAGCCAUUUUUGCAGUUCUUUUUUAGUAACAUCUAAAACUAGAAGAAUAGUAACUAUUAUAAAUUAUUUCUUUUUAAUAGUUUCGAAUACAAACACUAUUGAAACCAUCUAUGGAGUGUCUCUUUUAGGAUACAGUAUACCUUCACAAGUAAUAUAAUGAAUUAUCUUCUCUAGAGAUCAAUUUAAUUAUCUUUAUUCAUUACAAGCAAAUAAUUUUAUAAUUUAUAACAUAAUUUAGUAUAUGCAAAAAGCUUAUAAAUGUUUGCAUUAUAAUUUCACAUAGAACUUUAUAAAACUCUUCGUAAUAGUUUUCCCUCUUGUUGCAUUUUCCAAUUUUUAAUGUUACAAUAAAAUUCUCAUUUUUACUUCUGAUCUCUUUAUCAUGUAAAUUUUGUUUUUUAAUGACUAUGCACACUUACCCAUAAAAGAGGACACACAUUAGAUCCACAUACCCUUGACCUCCUAUUUCUAUCACAACCCACAAAUAAUCCGCAAAAAUGCUCUUAUGUGCAUAAAUCAUAGGCAACAUGAUUUGAAUCCUUAUGGAUGGAUUCGUACCUAUACAUCUAAACUACGCCAAAGAGGUGGUUUUAGUAUAAAUAAGUCUAAAAUGCUCUUAUGUGCAUAAAUCAUAGGCAACAUGCAUGAUUUGAAUCCUUAUGGAUGGAUUCGUACCUAUACAUCUAAACUACGCCAAAGAGGUGGUUUUAGUAUAAAUAAAUCUAAAACUUAAUACUUUUAAAUAUGCCUCUAGACAAAAAGAUAUUUAUCUACAACGCAGUCUAGUGUUGUUAUAUAUGCUAUAGGUGAAAGACUUAACUUAGUCAUAUGUAAGACCUUACAUUGCUGUUUCGAUAUAUGGAACCAAGUAUCUUGCAUUACUAGAAUCCAUGUUCUAUAUUUGAAGUAGGAUAACCUCUAUGUUUCUCUCAUUGGUAGAUUUAUCUUCGUGUUAAUACACUUUCUCCAUAAAGAAAAUAAUGAAAAAGAGUUCUUGACGACCUAGUCUCCACUAUUAAAAAAAAGCAAAGCUAGAGGAGUAGGGUUAAAUGUUCCUCUUGAUAGAAAUAUUAAUAGCUUGUGCUCUUGAUAGAAAUAUUUUAGAAGUAAAAUAUAAAUUAUAGAAUGCUUCCAACUCAGUGAGCCUAGAAUCACCACUCUGUAGAUCACGAUGGAGGUGUCCUUCCAAUUCUAAAAAGCAGAGGGCUACUCCCACAUGCUGUGACAUAAAAUUGCAACUUGCAUAUAGGAACCUCUUGGAACUUGUUCUGUUCGGUUCUUUUAGUUUGAAUUGUAACCUCUUUAUUCUGGAAAUAUCCGGGUCAUCUAGCAGUUCCAUUGAUUUGUUUUGCAGCUCUUCAAGAUGCCAAAAUGUACGGUCAGAUUCUUUCCUAGGGCUUAUCUACUAUAUUAAUUGUUGCCUUAUUCAUCGCUUUGUAGAUUUAUCCUCAAAAUAACCCUAAAUGAAUGACUUAGUUUCUUGAGCUAUUGAUCUAAUUGUCCACGACCGAUGUGUUAUUAAUUUUCAUUUCAUUUGGGUCCUAUUUUCAUUCAAUACCUUGUGCAUACAAAAUCUUGCUCUUAUUGCAAGAAUGAAGGUCACGUGGCAAAUGACUGCCUUGGAACAAAAGUGAGACAAAUUUGAUCAUUGGAUGUGAUCGAAUAGGGCAAGGCUAUCUAAUGAAGGCUAAGAUCAGUCCUAGUUUAGUUUAUUAAACUUUCCAGUUCAUUUUCAUGACUGCUUGGAUGUCCUUUUCCGUGCUGAGUAAUUGCAAAAGAUCGAAGGCAAUACAAAUACAAUCUUUGGCAGUAUGGAGGUGAGGUCAACUACAAUCUAUACUGACCAUUUGCUGCGGAGGAGGAAGAAGAAGAUGCAUAAACGGAAGCCCACAGAACCUAACUGAGCAAGCUGCCGAGUUGUCAAGUUGCAAAGGGGCACCAUCUUAUGCCUUGCAUGCCACCUUCAAGGCAUAGAAACUCCUGUCGAAAAGGCGGAUGAAGCGGUAACAUUUUAAAAUGCCAAAAAAAAAUUCUCCUUAAUUUCUUUUUUCGGGAGGCUUCGAGUGUCUUGUGAGAAUAUUUUUAUUGGUGUCAAUUUAUGUUCAGAUGAAGCUGCACUGUUCCAAUAAGCACAACACCUUUAGGAUACCCUGGGAGAAAAUGUUUUUCUUGUUUAUCUAGGAUGUAGAGAGACAUCAGCUUGCAUCAGUACAUAUUCCAUAGAAUUUGAUGUUAUGGUAAAUAAAUAAUUUUUCCCCAAUGGUAGUGUUGAUGCGAAAACGCACCGCGCCAAAUACUUGAGCACUGAAGAACGUGCAGUCCGCAAAGACGCUUCUUGUUGUGUCGAUGUGGAAGCCGGUCAGAUCGGUAUGGCAGGACGGUUUGGAUCGGUCUCGCCAGAGAGCUCGGCAAGGAUCCAACGAAUGCCCACUCGGGAGGGACCCCAUCGGGCAGGAACACCUUGGUUGCCUAGCAGGACAGCUAGGGCACCACCACAUGCUAUGGAGACAGGAGAUUGAUUUUUGAUCGAUUGGAUACCCUCAAUCGGUCAUAGCACUUUAUAUUUAUAGAAAGGGGAUGUCUUACCCAUUAAGAUUUGAAACUCUUACAAAUCCUUGUCAAAAUACAUCUCCUAAUUCAACUGGUUCAACCGCCCUAUGAAACUAGUAUGACCGGUUUUCCUAGAUCUUCCCAAAGUCAUAACUCCUUCAUCUGAACUCCAAAUUAGACGUUCUAUAUAUCAUUUUGAUUGUCUUGAUGAGAGAUACGUAAUGGUGAAGUCUAAUUUGCAAUUUGAGCAAUUUAUGUAAACCGAUCUGAUAGGUUUAGAGACCGGUUCGCUCAGAUCAAUUUUGGUCGUCAACAGGUAGCAAAAAUGAACAUAAUAUUGGCAUUUCAUUCAUACAUGUUGUUGCUGUUCAUUGGUGACUUUAAAGGGCAGCCUUUAUCUUUUAGUUUGAAUUGUAACCUCUUUAUUCUGGAAAUAUCCGGGUCAUCUAGCAGUUCCAUUGAUUUGUUUUGCAGCUCUUCAAGAUGCCAAAAUGUAGGGUCAGAUUCUUUCCUAGGGCUUAUCUACUAUAUUAAUUGUUGCCUUAUUCAUCGCUUUGUAGAUUCAUCCUCAAAAUAACCCUAAAUGAAUGACUUAGGGGCCGUUUGGUUUCUCUGACUUAUUUUUAGGACAUGUCACAUCGAAUGUUUAGAUACUAAUUAGGAGUAUUAAACAUAGACUAUUUACAAAACCCAUUACACAGCUGGAGGCUAAACGGCGAGACGAAUAUAUUAAGCCUAAUUAGUCCAUGAUUUGAUAAUGUGAUGCUACAGUAAACAUUUGCUAAUGAUGGAUUAAUUAGGCUUGAUAGAUUCAUCUCGUUGUUUAACCUCCAUCUGUGCAAUUAGUUUUAUAAUUAACUCAUAUUUAGUCCUCCUAAUUAGCCUCCGAAUAUUCGAUGUGACACGGACUAAACUUUAGCUCGAUGAACCAAACACCCCCUUAGUUUCUUGAGCUAUUGAUCUAAUUGUCCACGACCGAUGUGUUAUUAAUUUUCAUUUCAUUUGGGUCCUAAUUUCGUUCAAUACCUUGUGCAUACAAAAUCUUGCUCUUAUUGCAAGAAUGAAGGUCACCUGGCAAAUGACUGCCUUGGAACAAAAGUGAGACAAAUUUGAUCAUUGGAUGUGAUCGAAUAGGGCAAGGCUAUCUAAUGAAGGCUAAGAUCAGUCCUAGUUUAGUUUAUUAAACUUUCCAGUUCAUUUUCAUGACUGCUUGGAUGUCCUUUUCCGUGUUGAGUAAUUGCAAAAGAUAGAAGGCAAUACAAGAACACUUCCAUUGGAGAGGUGAGCGCGAGCUGAGCUCCCCCUUUCCCCGCCGGCGGCCACUCCGGCCCCGGCAUCCACCUCCGCCGUAAUACCUCCCCUAGCCCAGCCCCUCGUUCCCUCCGCCGGUGUUCACUCCGACCCUGGUGUCCACCUCCUACUUUGUAAACCCCCAACCUUCCCCCCCUCCCCCCUCGUUAGCGACCAUUCUGGUGCGGCUGCACUUGAUUCUCCUCAAGUGAAGUUGUCUCUAGGCUUCCUCGGUUAGGCUUUUCUCGCCCUUCUCUGCUUGAGCCAUGGAUUUUUCCAAAUUUGAUUUCGCCUUGGGAAAAGCUUUCAGCAAGAAAGUCUUUGAUCUUUGCAAAUGCAAUGUCAAUUCGGAUGGAACACCAGCAAGCGAGGGUUUUUCCUUGCUGGUCUCUUUUAGCAGGAACAGAUUCAGACUUACUGAGGAUUCAUCGGUCAAUAUUUGCCUCCAAUCUGUUCUGGGGGGCAAGGCACAUCUCUUGAAGGCUGAGCAGAUGGAGGAUCAAAUUUUCAAGCUCAAAGUCUCAUCUUACCAUGUGGGUUUUUUAAUCUGUGAGCUUGGCUCCCUUCCAUGUGAGUGGUUCAAUUUAGCCUUCUUUCUCUACAAUGAUGGUGGUUUUCACAAAGCCCUCUCUUUCGCUAAGAAAGAUUCUAGCCCCUCCUUCACAUGGGAAUCUCCCAAGUCUAGAAGUUCCAAGGGUUCUUAUGCCUAUGCUGUUAAGAACAACCACGUGGCAGUUCAUAAUGAUCGUCCAUUUAAUCAGAGUUUUCCUCCUCUUUCGGGAGCUAAUGCUGUCUCCAUUGGCAAAGGUAGAGGUAACUUGCAUUCUGGCAUCACCUCUGGAACAAUUAGUUUUUUUGAGGUUGGAAUUUCCUCGAAAAUCAGUGUUUACAAGACUUAGUUCAGCUUCAUCAGGGUUUUCCUCAAGCCGUUACUCUUUCAAAUUAAAAAAUCGACAACAAGUCAAAGAUCUUGGGCCGAAAGGCGUAUUGUUUUCGAAGCCCAAUUCUGUAGCUAGGGUAGAGCUUAAUUGUAAAAGGUGUCUACUGCCUAACCGCACAACGGUGUGCAUUAACCCGAUCAAAUGCUGGCGGUGUAAUUAAGAUGGGCACAUCUCCAAGGGCUCUGCCUCUUUUCACGGGAUCCAAAAAUUUAUGGCGCUGUGUAACCAUCCCUUAACUAGUAACUUCUCUUCUCUCAUCCCAAUUGACGCUUGGCCUUCCGAUGUUUGGCGCUAUUGGUUCAGGAAUGCUUCCAAGCCCAAUUUGCAAAACCUCCAACAAGGCCCGGCUCUUGGGACGCCGUCCCCUGCUGACUACAGUGUUCCAAUAAUUGCCACCUCUUCGGCUAUCUCACUCUCACCGUCUCCUUCUCCAACUUCCCCCAAAAAACCCCAGUCUACUGUUGUGGUGGAGGUUGGUGCCGGCGAAACCCAGCUAGAAGCAAUGGCAUUCCUCAACAUCAAUCCAGCACCGAUGAUGCUUCCAGGCUUCCAUAGGAUUUUGGUCCAAGGAAGGCCUAGGUUCUCAAGGGUGAUAACUCCAAGAACGCCUCCGGCAAAUGAAGACCUAGCGAUCGUCACCAUCACUGACCCCCCUCCGGAUGAAAUUCCUUUUGCCGAUACUAGAGAGUUUAUUAUGGGUUUGCUAGAAGGGCACUAUGAGUUGCGGGUUACGGAGAUUCAGCGUAGUCCUUUUGCUAGAGCCCAAGCUUUUGUUAGAAUGGGUCGAGUGACCGAUAGGGAUGCUCUCGUCCAUCGCAGUCCUCAACAGUUCCAAGGUCUCAACAUUGAGAUUGUCCCGCACAAUAGAGGUCCCAAUGCACGCAGAGUUCUUUUCAAUAGAGAAUGUUGGCUUAUGCUUAUUGGGUAACCGAUAGAUGCUCGCUCUGUAGAUGAGAUACGAGACACCAUCAAGUCUUUUGGUAGACUCAUCUGCUAGCAAAAGGAAAAUGUUUUGGCACGUGUGGUCGUAAAGGCAAGGGUCACUGAGUUGGAGGACAUUCCACACUACCUGGUUCUGUCAGAAGGAGACGACUUUGAAGGGGUCUCUCUCACUGUGCAAGUAGCGAUUAUACACCAAAAUGUGCUUGGUGGAGGGUUGCAAGAUGAGUACAUUCCACCGCCAAGUGUCGAAGGGGACUUCAUCUUUCCUAGAAUUGGCCCGGCAUAGCCUCAACAAGAACUUCACCAACAUAUUCAGGGUCAGGCCCACCAGCCUAAUCUAAUCCCUGACCUUAAUGACUUCCUUUUGGAAGAUGACAACAAUGCUCAGCAAGAGGAGGACCAGAACAAUGAUGGCCCACUUGAUGGUGAGGACGAAGAAGCCCAACAAGACAUCCUUGAUUUGGAGCUCAGCCUUUCUGCUCCUGUGGCAUCCAAGACCGAUUCCUCAUCUGACAGUGGGAACAUCUCCAAAAAGCAAGUGAACAUUGCUAUAAAUGCAGAAGAUGACCAAGCCCAGGAAGGAAUUCAAGAAGGCCCAAAGGAAGAGGUUAACUAUAAUGAAGACACACAUCAGCAAAUUCAGCAGAAUCCAGCCAUUCAACCAGCAAUUGAUGAAAUUGGAGGAAACUUCAUUAUUGGGGACAACUUCUUUCCUGAUUUCCUACCAGCCAUUCAAAUUCAGAACCUUGGGCUCAAUGUGGACUUGAAUCAACCCUUGGAGGCCCAGAUGGGGUCAAAUUCCCCGGAAAACCAAUAAUGUUGAUAAUCAGCCCAUGAUACUACAGCAGGGAGGGGAUCUGGGAACUCACAGUCAGGACCACUAUGAUCCUGUGGAUGAUCCAUUGGGAUCUGGUAGACUGCACAUCAAUAUGGCCACUUGGAACACUGCAGAGGCUGAUCCAGGAUGGAUGAUGCAUUCGUAUAAAGCUCCUGCAGAUGUAUACAGACUUUGGGCAAGGCACUUCUCUAUGACAGAUGGAUCAAGACAGGUGAUUGAUAUUCCCGCAAACUGGGCAAGUUUUUUCACCAUCACACUUUGAUUGGGCAAAGAGUUUUCUGUCCUCUAAAGCUUGGAAUUUUAUUGUUUCAUCCAACAAUUCAUCUAUCUUACCUUUUGCCUUACCCCCUGUCUGUCCACAAAAUGUGGAAAUAUAGUGCAUCCACCCUUCGGACAGCAAUGAAGGCACAGGCAAAUUCUACAACCAGCAAACCAAGGAUAAAGCAAGGAGAGGUCCUAUAAUAGAGACGAAGACUAGAUGAAGCCCAAGAUUGAGGGACAAGAAUGGUGGGUUCAAACAUAAAAGUUGUCUCAGUAAGAAUUGUUUAGCUUGUGCAGCCAGUCCUCCUACUCUCCCUAGUGCUCUUAUUAAAACCAAUUAAAUCCAUUGGUUCUGACUUAUGCAAAAUAAACACAGAGGUGGUACCAAGCAGGAGCAGCCCCAUGAACCCGAUUGGCAGCAGGAUGGGGAGCACUUCUAAAAGAGGAAAGGCUAAAGGAAAAUUGGAGGACCGCGAAGUUCAGGAGGUCCCCAAGAAAUCCAAGAAGUAAGUACUCCCCGGACUGAUGGAGGGACCCAUUUUGUUAGAUCUGGAAAGCCUCUUAGGCAGUCUGUCUUUUGGUUUCUUGGGAAUUACUUUUAUUUUGUUAAAUCCUUUAACGUGGUGGAUCAUGUAUCCUCUGAACGAUGUGGACGCCUGGAACAUAAGGUUUCAAGUUUUAUGGCACUUAAUCAUAUCUGAUUGGAACUAUCUAGUAGGCAGCCUCAGAGUUACCUCUCUUUCUUCAGUUCUCCUGAUGGACCCUGUUAGUCAAUUUUUUUCCACAAUCUGGCAUGUUAUUUUUGAGCUAGUGUACAAGGAGGUCUACAAUCUUCCCUAUUUCUCCCAUGAAUCAAGACAAUAGCAAGAGAUCUUGGAAAGUCCUAUCCUGGAACAUAAGGGGGAUCAACUCUGAUAAUAAAUGGGAGGCGGUUCAGAGUAAAAUAAAGGAAUCCACUUGUGACAUUAUCUGCCUUCAGGAGACAAAAAGAGAAGCUUUUGACAUGCAAUAUAUUAAGAAAUUCUGUCCACCUACAAUGAUAGGCUACACCUUUCUCCCUUCGCAUGGCAACUUUGGGGGGAGUUUGAUUGUCUGGAAAGAAUCAAAAUUUGAAGGGGAACUGAUUUUUAAAAAUGAUUAUGCACAGUCGGUAAGUCUAACCUGUAAGGUCUCGGGAUAAAUCUGGAUCCUUACAAACAUUUAUGCACCAUGUAUUCCGAAAGGGAGGAUGCAAUUUUGAAACUGGUUUGGAACAUAGAAAUGCCGGAUGAACAACUCUGGAUGAUUGUAGGGGAUUUCAAUCUACUUCGUAAACCACAGGACAGAAACAAACCAGGAGGGAACAUACAGGAAAUGCUAUCCUUUAAUGCUGCAAUUAGUAAACUAAGGCGGGUAGAAUGACCACUGAGGGGUUGUCAGUACACAUUGACUAACAAACAACAUAACCCCCUUCUGGAAAGACUGGAUUGGUUCUUCACCUUAGCUAGUUGGACAACUUCUUUCCCAAACUCUUUUUCCUCAGCCUUGUCAAGAGAUACUUUUGAUCAUACACCGUGUGUAAUAACUGCUUGUACCAAUGUGCCUUAGCCCAAAGUAUUCAGGUUUGAGAAUUACUGGCUGGAACAUGCACACUUUAUCCCAAUCUUGCAACAUGCCUAUAGCCUACCCACACAACAAACUGACAGUGCAAAAAUAGUGACAGCAAGAUUCAAGAGCCUAAGAAGAGUCCUAAAGGAUUGGCAAAAACAACUCCCAAAUAUGGCUUCAACUAUUCAAACCUGCAUAGAUUUGAUCCUUUUCUUGGAUGUCUUGGAGGAAGAUAGAGAUCUUAGUACACACGAAUGGAACCUCAGACAUUCUUUGAUCCAACACUUGCAAACACUACUGCACCACCAAAGAAUUUACUGGAGACAGAGAGGAAACAUCAAGUGGGUGAAAUUAGGAGAUGAAUGUACCCAGUUUUUUCACGCCAACACAUCCAUAAAGAAUAGAUUGAACUCAAUAACCUCUCUGACGAAUCAGACAGGAGUAACCUUAUAUGAUCAUGAGGCUAAGGCAUCUCUCCUGUGGGAAAGCUUCAAAGAGAGGCUGGGAACCACAGAUUUCUCCCACAUGUACUUUGAUCUCCUAACACUUAUUCAAGUAGAACAUGAUCUAGAAUGGCUUCAUAGCCCUAUCACAAAGGAGGAAACAGACAAGAUAAUCCAUGAUCUACCAAAUAACAAGUCCCCAAGCCUAUUUCUCUUCUCAACUCCACAAUCAAAAUAAUCACUAAGAUCCUGGCUGAGAGACUUCAACAGGUUAUCAUGAGACUAAUCCAUGCUAACCAAUAUGGCUUCAUCAAAUCAAGAUCUAUUCAUGAUUGCUUGGCAUGGGCAUUUGAAUACCUACACAUCUGUAAAGUCUCAAAGAAGGAACUGGUAAUCUUAAAACUAGACUUUGAGAAGGCCUUUGAUAAAAUAGAACACCAGGCCAUACUGCAGAUUAUGAAGCAUAAGGGAUUUGGAGAGAAAUGGAUUAAAUGGAUUUCGGCAAUACUAAGGCCAUGUUUAGUUACUCCCAACUUCCAACUUUGACACUAUGCAAAAAGAAGAUUCCCCAUCACAUCAAACUUGCGGUACAUGCAUGGAGUACUAAAUGUAGAUGAAAUUAAAAAGUAAUUGCACAGUUUUGUUGUACUUUGCGAGACGAAUCUUUUGAGCCUAAUUAGUCAAUAUUUGGACAAUAAUUCACAAAUACAAACGAAACGCUACAGUGUGCUACAGUGCUGUAACAGUAAUUUGGCACCUCCCAAAUUCGCCAACUAAACAAGGCCUAAACUCAGGAACAUCCUUUGUCCUCCUAAAUGGCACACCUGGGAAAGUCUUUCACUGCAAGAGAGAAGUUAGGCAGGGUGACCCCCUUUCUCCUCUCCUCUUUGUUCUAGCAGCAGAUCUCCUGCAAACUGUGGUCAAUAAUGCCAACGAUAGGGGAAUUUUAAGUAGGAUAACCUCUAUGUUUCUCUCAUUGGUAUAUUUAUCUUCGUGUUCAUACACUUUCUCCAUAAAGAAAAUAAUGAAAAAGAGUUCUUGACGACCUAGUCUCCACUAUUAAAAAAAAGCAAAGCUAGAGGAGUAGGGUUAAAUGUUCCUCUUGAUAGAAAUAUUAAUAGCUUGUGCUCUUGAUAGAAAUAUUUUAGAAGUAAAAUAUAAAUUAUAGAAUGCUUCCAACUCAGUGAGCCUAGAAUCACCACUCUGUUGAUCACGAUGGAGGUGUCCUUCCAAUUCUAAAAAGCAGAGCACUAGUAGAGAAGUGACUUUCGAUCCACCCCCUUUUAUCCCGGUUUAAAAGUGGCCCGGGACAAAGGGGGUGCGCCGGGGGGCGGGAAUUUGGAGGGGAGCAUUAGUCCCGGUUGGUAAUUGCAACCGGGACUAAAGGCCCCCCUUUAGUCCCGGUUGCAACGGCUAGGGGGGGGCGUCGGUGGCGGGACCCUUUUAUCCCGGUUGGAUCCUCCAACCGGGACUAACUUUCCAACCGGGACAAAAGGUGUUUCCUUUUGUCUCGGUUGGAGUUUUUAACCGGGAUUAAAACUCAUCCCCCACUAUAUCCCGAGACAGAGACUUUCUUCUUCCUCCAGCCCGAGCAGUCCAGCACAUUGAUAGAGAGCUGAGCUUCACCUACUCUCCGGUGGUGCCCAAGCAAGGGAGGUGCUGCCCGAAGUUUUUUCCCUCAUUUUUGUGGGAAUUUGACUCAGCCAACAAGUGCUGCGAAGGUUUGCUACUUCAUCCUCGUGUUAUGCUUUGAUUUAUGCUUUGGAGAUGGAAAGAUUAUUUGCUACAAUGUGAUGAUGAAGUAGAAAAAUGGAGAGGUAUUUUGAGCUAGAAUGUGAGGGAGAUUGAUGUGUCAUAUAUAGUAUGCAUUAUUUCAGUGGUUUAAAAAUGAUGCUACCUUGUCUAGACAGUUUAUCUUAUCAAAUUCAAUAUGGUUUUUUAAAUCCAUAUACUUGUUAAACUUGCAUACCGUGUUCAUUUCGGCGAGAAUGUUCUCCGCCGAGCAGCAACGUAUGUCAAGAAGGAGGUUCGAUUCUACGAGAAAGAGUGGAUACGGACAUCGUGACCGUGUCCCCUUUUCCGUAGCAUCUAACCUCUUUCAUGACGAAGUGCGGUGCCGCUUAGCUGAGGACAUCCUCGCGAAAUGAACACGGUCUUCAAGUUCAACAACUUCUGUAGUGGUAAGGAAAGAAUUUUUGUACAUAGAUGACUUCUGCUACUUGUUGAACUUGCAUACCGUGUUCAUCUCGCCGAGGAUGUUCUCCGCCGAGCAGCAACGUAUGUCAGGAAGGAGGUUCGAUUCUACGAGAAAGAGUAGAUACGGACAUCGUGACCGUGUCCCCUUUUCCGUAGCAUCUAACCUCUUUAAUGACGAAGUGCGGUGCCGCCCAGUUGAGGACAUCCUCGCGAGAUGAUCACGGUCUUCAAGUUGAACAACUUAUGCAGUGUUUGGGACUUUAAUUUAAAUAUGUGUAUUUGGAUCUUCAUGUUGUUGUAUUGUACCAUGUUGUUUGGAUCUUUAAUCGAUUUUCACGCGUAAUCCAUUGUCAAGUGUAAUCCAUUUUCGUGCGUAAUACGAUGCAGAUGGACCGGCAUUGGAUGUAUAAUGCAGACAGGCGGAGCAAGGUGUUUAUUGAUGGCUUGCAUUAUUUUCUCGAAGUGGCAAAAGCGAACAAGCCAGAGAAUGGGUUCGUAUGUUGUCCAUGCUUCCAAUGCAAUAACAGGAAGGAGUAUUCAAAGGAUUCCUGGGGGACUAUUCACAGCCACUUGUUUAAAUACGGUUUCAUGCCUAACUAUUUGGUUUGGACCAAGCAUGGUGAACUAGGGGUUGUAAUGGAAGAUGGCGAGGAGGAGGAGGAAGAUGACACCAUUCCGGACUGGGUUGCAGGCCAAGCUUUUGCAGGUACUACAAUGGGCGAGGCUGAUGAAGAUGAGUUUGCAGAAAAUGACCCUACUGAUGACCUUGGUCAGGUGAUACGAGAUGUAUACAGAGAUUGCGAAACUGAGAAGGAAGCAGCAAAGUUGCAGCGCAUGAUAGAUGAUCACCAAAAAUUGUUGUACCCAGGUUGCCAGCAGGGCCAUAAAAAACUAGGUACGACACUAGAAUUUGUGCAAUGGAAGGCAAAAAAUGGUGUGUCCGAUAAGGCAUUUCAGGGGAUGUUGAGAAUUGUCAAGAAGAUUCUCCCCGAGAAUAAUGAAUUACCGUCCACAACAUAUGAAGCUAAACAGAUUAUUUGCCCUCUCGGAUUGGAUGUUCAGAAGAUACACGCAUGCCCUAAUGACUGUAUCCUCUAUCGUGGUGAUGAAUACGAGGAAUUGGAUGCUUGUCCCGUCUGCGAAGCCCUGCGGUAUAAGAUCAGGCGAGAUGAUCCUGGUGAUGUCGAGGGGCAGUCUCCCAAGAAGAGAGUUCCCGCGAAGGUGAUGUAGUAUUUCCCUAUAAUACCACGCUUGAAGCGCUUGUUCAGGAACAAGGCGAAUGCUAAGUUGAUGUGAUGGCACAAAGAAGACCGUAAGGAAGAUGAGAUGCUGAGACACCCCGCAGAUGGGGCACAGUGGAGAUCAAUUGAUAGAACAUUCCCAGACUUUGAAAGUGAAGCAAGGAACAUAAGGUUUGGUUUAAGCACUGAUGGAUUCAAUCCAUUCGGUGAGUUGAGUAGUGGUCAUAGUACUUGGCCUGUGACCCUUUGUAUGUUCAACCUUCCUCCUUGGCUGUGCAUGAAGCGGAAGUUCAUUAUGAUGCCGGCACUUAUCCAAGGCCCAAAACAACCCGGCAACGACAUUGACGUGUACCUAAGGCCGUUGGUUGAUGACCUUUUACAGCUCUGGAAGGAAGAAGGUGUACGUGUGUGGGAUGAGGAUAGACAAGAGAUCUUUAAUCUACGAGCACUGUUGUUCGUAACCAUCAACGAUUGGCCUGCAUUGAGUAACCUUUCAGGACAGACAAAUAAGGGAUAUCGGGCAUGCACCCACUGUUUAGAUGACACAGAUAGCAUGUACUUGAAGCACUGUAAGAAGGUCAUCUAUAUGGGUCAUCGUCGAUUUCUCCCUGCUCACCACCAGCUGAGAAAGAGCGGGAUGCAUUUCAAAGGGACGCCAGACCAUCGUAAAAAACCUGCACACCGUAAUGGAAAGCGUGUGUUCGAGAUGAUGAAGGAUGUACAUGUAGUCUUUGGAAAGGGACUUGGUAGCCAACCUAUUCCGAACGAUGAUAACGGACAUGCACCCAUGUGGAAGAAAAAGUCAAUAUUUUGGGAGCUACCUUAUUGGAAAAUCCUAGAGGUUCGCAACGCAAUAGACGUGAUGCACCUGACGAAGAAUCUUUGCGUGAACGUGCUAGGCUUCAUUGGUAUUCUCGGACCUGUAUACCUGCACAAUAUGUGGCCUUUCGAGAGGUUCAUGGCAGUCCUAAAAAACUAUGUUCGUAAUCGUGCUCGUCCAGAAGGAAGCAUCGCCAGGGGAUAUGGAACAGAGGAGGUGAUCGAGUUUUGUGUUGAUUUUAUUGAUUCAAUUGACUCGAUUGGGGUUCCAACUUCACGCCACGAGGGGAGGCUCCGAGGAAUGGGCACCCUUGGAAGGAAAUCAAGUUUGAGCAAUGAUACUAAUUUGUUCGACAAGGCACACUACACUGUUCUACAACAGUCAUCCUUUGUGUCUCCGUAUAUCGAGCAGCACAGGCAGAUGGUAGCUUCCAAAAACCCGACCAAAUCCGAUGCUUGGCUUACCCGUCAUCACAUGGAAACUUUUCCCUCCUGGUUGCGCCAACAACUUAUGGGUAACUCUGAGAUUCACCCACAGCUUGCCUGGUUAGCCAGGGGACCUGCUACCACAAUCGUCAAAUUCCAAGGCUAUGAGAUAAAUGGUUACACAUUUUACACGAGAGCCCAGGACCAGAAAAGCACGAACCAGAAUAGUGGUGUCCGCAUAGAUGCCAUGGACAGAAAUAAUAGCAAGGAGUCAUAUUAUGGUUUCAUACAGGAGAUAUGGGAACUCGAAUACGGACCGCUGUACAUCCCUCUAUUUCUUUGCAAUUGGGUGAAGCUAACUGCCGUCACCAAAGAUCAGUACGGAAUGACAAUAGUAGAUCUGAGCAAGACUGGAUACAGUGAUGACCCAUUCGUACUUGCCAAUGAUGUGCAUCAGGUGUUCUAUGUGAAGGACAUGUGCAGCAAACCCAAGAGGAAUCCAGAAGAGACAUGGGAGCCAAAGUGCCACAUAGUUCUUCCAGGUAAAAGAAAAAUCGUGGGAGUCGAGGAUAAAACAGACCAAUCAGAUGAUUAUGAUCAGUUUGAUGGCAUGCCUCCAUUCGACGUUGAAGUUGAUCCAAGCAUCCUGCUGUCCAAAGAAGAGGCUCCGUACUUACGCCGCGAUCAUGAUCAAGGAACUUUCGUGAAGAAGAAAUUUUACAACGUUGUAUUGUAAUGCGUUAAAUGUGCAUGACCUUUGUGUAUUAAUUGAUACAAUUUGUAAUUUACCCUAUGUAUGAUUUCAUGUGUUAUUAAAUUUGUUAGGUGAAGACUUUUUAGAUAUACAUGAACAUUGUUAACCACAUACUAACAUGGAUUUUUCUGCGCAUUCAAAUAAUUUAAUUGAAUAAUUUAUUGAUCACAGCAAUGCAGUAAAAUAAAUAUUUUACAGGCUACAUGAGUUGGUAUAGAAAUAAUGAUUACUUCAUACUUAUUGUCAAUUUACUCGUUAAUUAAAUAUAUUUUUGCAUGUACAAAAUCUGAGAAGGUUUUGUUUUUCAUCCUGGAAUGCAGUGAAAAGGUUAAAUAAAAUCCAUUUCCAAAAAACAGGCGGGAGAAGAAAAAUAGGAAAAAAGACCUUUUGUCCCGGGUGCUAACAGCAACCGGGACAAAAGGCCCCCCUUUUAUCCCGGUUGCAAACGGCAACCGCGAUAAAAGGGUACGUUUCGUCUCCCGCCCGAAUGGAGCGCACCCUUUUAUCCCGGGUCCCGUCACCAACCGUGAUAAAAGGGGGGGCCUUUUAUCCCGAUUGAUGACGGGACCAGGGACAAAAGGCCCUUUUGUCCCGGGUGCCAUUACGAACCNNNNNNNNNNNNNNNNNNNNNNNNNNNNNNNNNNNNNNNNNNNNNNNNNNNNNNNNNNNNNNNNNNNNNNNNNNNNNNNNNNNNNNNNNNNNNNNNNNNNNNNNNNNNNNNNNNNNNNNNNNNNNNNNNNNNNNNNNNNNNNNNNNNNNNNNNNNNNNNNNNNNNNNNNNNNNNNNNNNNNNNNNNNNNNNNNNNNNNNNNNNNNNNNNNNNNNNNNNNNNNNNNNNNNNNNNNNNNNNNNNNNNNNNNNNNNNNNNNNNNNNNNNNNNNNNNNNNNNNNNNNNNNNNNNNNNNNNNNNNNNNNNNNNNNNNNNNNNNNNNNNNNNNNNNNNNNNNNNNNNNNNNNNNNNNNNNNNNNNNNNNNNNNNNNNNNNNNNNNNNNNNNNNNNNNNNNNNNNNNNNNNNNNNNNNNNNNNNNNNNNNNNNNNNNNNNNNNNNNNNNNNNNNNNNNNNNNNNNNNNNNNNNNNNNNNNNNNNNNNNNNNNNNNNNNNNNNNNNNNNNNNNNNNNNNNNNNNNNNNNNNNNNNNNNNNNNNNNNNNNNNNNNNNNNNNNNNNNNNNNNNNNNNNNNNNNNNNNNNNNNNNNNNNNNNNNNNNNNNNNNNNNNNNNNNNNNNNNNNNNNNNNNNNNNNNNNNNNNNNNNNNNNNNNNNNNNNNNNNNNNNNNNNNNNNNNNNNNNNNNNNNNNNNNNNNNNNNNNNNNNNNNNNNNNNNNNNNNNNNNNNNNNNNNNNNNNNNNNNNNNNNNNNNNNNNNNNNNNNNNNNNNNNNNNNNNNNGUCGACGGGCCCAGCCCCCGGCCCGGCCACCUCGUCGCCGGCUGCAUCGCCCCUCGUCGCCGGCUCCAUCCUCGUCGCCCCUCGUCGCCCCUCGUCGCCCCUCGCCGGCCGCCGUCGUCGUCUUCGCCUCGGCCGCCGUCGUCCCGCCGUCGUCGUCUUCGUCCUCGUCGCCGCCCCGGCCGCCGCUGUCCCGCACGCCGCCCGGCCGCCGCCGUCCCGCCGUGACGCCGCCCCGGCCGCCGCCGUCAGGCCGCCCCGGCCGCCGCCGUCCCGCCGCCCCGGCCGCCGCCGUCCCGCCGCCCCGGCCGCCGCCCCGCGCGCGAGAGGUCUGCCGCGCCGGCCGGUGCGCCGGGGAGAGCUGGGUUUUCUUUUAAUUUUUAAUUUUGUUUUUUUAGAUGGAAUUGUAAUUUUGUUAAGUUAGAUUUUUAGAUUUCUAAUUUUGUUAAGUUAGAUUUUUAGAUUUCUAGUUAGUUUGUUAAGUUAGAUUUGUAGUUAGGUUGUUAACUACCGUCCCGCCGUCGUGAUCACCGCCGUCCCGCCGAGUAGCUACCGUGAUCGCCGCCGAGUAGCCGCCGAGUCGCCUUGUAGCCGUCGUGAUCGCCGCCGAGUAGCCGCCGUGAUCGCCGCCGUCCUGCCGCCCAUCACAACGUAGUAGCUUAGGCACCGCCCGUGGUUCCGGUGAACCGCCUCCGCCGCCCUGACCGCCGCCGUCCCGCCUCCGCCGCCCUUAUCGCCGCCGUAGAAAUUCGUAGAAAUUCGUAGAAAUUCGUCAAAAUUCGUAGAAAUUCGUCAAAAUUCGUAGAAAUUCGUAGAAAUUUGUAGAAAUUCAUAGAAAAUCGUAGAAAUUUGUAGAAAUUCAUAGAAAUUCGUAUAAAUUCGUAUAAAUUCAUAGAAAUUCAUAGAAAUUCAUAGAAAUUCAUAGAAAUUCAUAGAAAUUCAUAGAAAUUUGUAUAAAUUCAUAGAAAUUUGUAUAAAUUCAUAGAAAUUCAUAUAAAUUUGUAUAAAUUCGUAUAAAUUCAUAGAAAUUUGUAUAAAUUCGUAUAAAUUCAUAGAAAUUCAUAGAAAUUCAUAGAAAUUCAUAGAAAUUCAUAGAAAUUUGUAUAAAUUCAUAGAAAUUUGUAUAAAUUCAUAGAAAUUUGUAUAAAGAUUCCGGACUUUGUACGAUUCAUGUUAUUUUAUGAUUUCAUUAUAUACAUGUAUGAUUCCGAACUGUGAUUAUAUACAAAUUUGUAUUAAGACGAUUUCUAUGACUGUCAUGUAUGAUUCCAUGUAUGUUUGCAGCAAUAGUUGAAAUGGCAGACGAUGAGACCGCAAGGUAUAUCAUGGAGCAGAUAAUCGCUGGUGAUGGUAGUGGCGACAACGUUCCACUAUCAUACACGGAUGAAGAGGGCACCCAGGCGGACAUGCUCCUCAACAUGUCUGCCGAUGUGAAUGAAGAGCAACAGCCGCAGCAACAACUUGCCGUGGCGGAAGGUUCCGGUGAGGUAUAUACAACCAUUCUUGUAUUGUUUCACGCCACCGCUACUAGUACGUACUAAUUAACGAAUCUUAAACUGUUAGCCCUCCGGAUCGACACAAGGGCAGAAGACCCGAGGUCGUACAAAGGUGAUGGAAGGGAGGCUUGUCAUCACCGAAGUUACAGAUGAGGGCAGGCCGGUUGCUCCCGAGAAAGUCGCAAAGAAGUACGUUAGUCAAAUCGGGGCAAUCGUCCGGGACAACGUGCCUAUCAGCAUCAGAGAAUGGAAGGGCAGAAGCGAUAAUCUGUACGCCCUUCCAGAGACAGAAAAGAAUAUGCUGUGGGAAGACGUGAAGAGGCAUUUCACAUUCCCCGAAGAUUAUAGCGAGAAGGAUGUCAAAGCGUGGAUACUUAAGAAGAUGGCUACUCAAUUCCAGACAUUCAAGUAGAUGCUGGACACCCACUACAUCAAGAAGGGCAAAACUCCAGACUUCAACGCGUGGCCCAAGUUGAGGGACCACUGGGAUGCAUUUGUUGAAUACAAGAGGAGUGAAGAAGGUGUGAAAAAGAUCACGACCAACGUUGCAAAUGCUAGUCAGAAGGGCUACCACCAUCAUUUGGGGCGAGGUGGGUAUGGCUCAGCAAUUCCCAAGUGGAGAAAGAUGGAACAAGAUCUGAUCGAACGGGGAAUCAUACCUGCAACUAUUGAAUGGCCCGAACGAUCAAAGAACUGGUACUACGCUCAUGGAGGCUCCCUAAGCCAAGAGGAUGGGACGCUGAUUUUCAAUGACAGAAUACGUGAGAAGGCCGAACAUCUCAUGAAGAACAUUGAAGAUUCCAAGGCUGGGAGGUUGAGGGUGGACCGAGAAAAUGAUGAGCUCACAUUGGCCCUAGGUAAUCCAGAGCACCCAGGACGUUGCCGGGGGUUCGGGGUGGUUCCGUGGAAGUUCGCUUUCCGAGGCGACAGCGCCUCUUACAGAAGUCGGAAGCGAAGAAAGGAACAGAUGGAGGAGAGCUGGCGGCAGAUGCUAGAACAACGAAUGAUGGAUGAAAUCAAUCGGCGGGUGGCCGACGCAGUUGCGGAGUUGGCGCAAUCUGGAGCACUGCCGAAUCCUCACACCGCCAGCCCUUCUCAACGCCUCGGGAGCAGUUGUGCUUCUACAGGGGUCCCCGAUGCGCAGACGCCCAGGUUACCCGUGGAGGAGCAACGGUUCCCCGUGGAUGCCAUCACGCAACGGACCUCAUGUGAGCUGCAUGCACCGGUCGGCAACCUCACUAUUAAGGUAUACUUAUACAUAAUAUUUAUGCAAUCUUGUCAAUUGAUCCAGGCCUCGAGAUCGGAGUUCAACUUGUUUACUUCUGCUAUAUGUACAGGUAGCGUACGGGAGUGCGUUACCAACGCUGGCAGGGCAGAGCAGUCAUGGCAUGGACAUUCCAACAGGCUACGCCAGCGUCUGCGUCGAGCAAAUAGUAGAUGCCCAGUAUGAAGGUCUAGAGCUCGACUUCCCGGGAGGCGACGGGGAAAAGACAUUGGCAGAUGCGCUUCAUGGGAUCAUUCUAUGGAAGAAACGCUACAUCAUUAUUUCCCGCACGGAGCCAUCUCCUCAGACCUCAAGACCGCUCCCCGUAGAUCUCGAGCAGCGAUCUUCUCCUCAUACCUCGAGACCGGCAUCUCCUGCUCCAGGACCGUCGCUUCCAUCUAUAUCAAGGUCUCCAUCUCCACCACAUCCUGGUGCUGGGAGCGACGACGACAAUAACAACACCCCUCCCCGAUCACCGUCGCCGGCACCAAGAGCGGCCCCCUCGAAGGAACCUGCAGCACCACUCAAGAAGUCACGAGCACCGCCACCCAAGCAAAGACAGCCUCGAAAGAAGAAAACAAAGGUCGACCCUGAAGUGGCUCGCAAGGAACGCUUUGAGGCAAUGUCUCAUGCGGACCAGUGGGCAGAAAUCCAAUGAGAGGCCAGUGAGUGGUUCAAGAAACAAGCCGAAUUAAAAAAGGCAAGGGAGAUGGAGCCACCGCCAGUAAGUCGGCGGGAUUUAAACUUUUUUAUCAGGAUGGAGGAAGGAGCCAAGAAAAGGAUACCACUCUUGUCAAACUAUGAACGGGCUCUAGUAAAGGCUGAUGAAAAGGAUAAAAGAAAAGGAAAAUCAUCCUCCAAAGGUUCAGUCCCCGACCUCAGCCAUUUAUCAAAGAAAGAUGCUCAACGGGUAAAAGCAAUGCCCUUGGAUCAACAAGAAAAUAUAUUGAAGUUCAUGGAAGAAACAGGUCUGGGACUUGAUGAAUGCAUAGGGCAAUUCGAGACGCCAACUGCACCGCCCCCUGAGCCGAGAUGGCCUUAUGAGCUAGGCAAGCCUCUAGUGAAGCCGGCAAUGGUACGGAAGCUGUCAACAAAGAUGUACGAAUUCCAUCAAUGGUACAUGACGGCAUCCGCCAAAUCGAGGGAGAUGAUCGGCAUGAAGGUAAAACCGAUAGAUUUUCACGGUGAAGGGGAGAAAGUGCUAUGGCUAGACUUCAAGGAUAUAUACGAAGUGUACCAUCAUGAUGCCCUGGACGUCUCUCUGAUCAGCGCUUGGAUUCUGUAAGUGUCCGUUUAUUAUCUCUACAUGUAAAUUUUGGCGUGCGUCACCGUACUAACUUCAUCUUCCAUUUCAUGUAGGAUGCUAAUUCAGACAUGCCGCCGAGAGGCGUACCUACAUGUAGGCUUCAUGGAUCCAUCUGUAGUUAACCAACAACAGAUACAAUUAGCGCCGGAAAAAACCUUUGCCGAAAUAUACAAUUUCCUACACAAACAAACAUUCAAGGACUUCAUACUACUUCCAUACAACUUCAAGUAAGUGUGUGUAUACCGUCUACUUUCGAUGUCUUUUUCCUUAUCUCUACAUGUUAGUUAGCUCUAAUAUGCAUGAACAUUUUACGCACGCAGCUUCCACUGGAUCCUUAUUAUAAUUGAGCCUGAAAGAAGCCACGUCACUGUCUUUGAUUCGUUACGGAAAGAUCCGGUGGACUACCAAGAAUUGCAAGACAUGCUAGGCUUGUAAUAAUUCUGGACCUUUAUCUCUAUGCAAAAAUUUAUUUCCUAAAUUUUAUCCCUGUUACACUAUGUCAUUCAUUAUUCUAAUCCGCAGCGUAUGGAAACAAUUCAUAAGGACACACCAAGGUCCAUUCAAAGAAGAUCUUACAUGGAACACAGACUUCCCGGUACGUAUGAAGUCUGCACAUUUAUUACAUUGUAUAACACGAAUAUUUCAUAACUUAUUUUUUUCCGCACUGAAGUGCUUAAGACAGGAACCCGGGAAUAACCUGUGUGGCUACUACAUCUGUGAGCACAUGCACAGUUUUUUGGGACCCAAGGGACCGAAGAUGAUGCCGCACAACUUUAAAGUACGUAAAAUAAAUAUAUUACUAGUUAAUUAUUUUCUAGCUCCUUAUAUGUAUUUGUUCAUGUAACAUUCACAAAUUUCCAAAUUAUAGAUGUUAAAUAUUCAACAAGGACUCUUGAAGGAAGAAAGAGUAGCGGCAAUAUGUGAAGGUCUCAUUGGAUUCAUAAUGGACGAGGUGGUAAAUCCAACAGGAGAAUUUUAUUACGAUGGACGACAAUUAGACACUCCUCUCAGCAACACCACGACGGGAAGAUCGUAGGAAGAUACUUUGAUUUAUUUGUAUAUAUGAUCGAUUUGUACUAAUUAAGCUAGUUGAAUUGUGUAUAUGAAUUGUGUAUAAGGAUUGUGUAUAUAUAUAGUAGUUGUAUAAUUACAAAUCCCAUUCGUUUAAAUACUAGUUGAUUUAAUUCAUUCUAAAAAAAUCUCAACUACAAGGUUAACAAAUUAAAAGGGCCGCGGUACUACUAUACGUAUACGUGAUGCAUGCAUGAAAAAUUCAGGCGUCACCAGUGCCAUGCAAGCGCAAUUUAGUCCCGGUUGGAAUUGAGCCGGGACUAAAGGGGGUCCUUUACUCCCGGUUAAAAUACCCGGGACUAAAGACCCCCCCCUUUUGUCCCGGUUGGUUUAUCCCGGAUGGAUAUCCGAGAGAUAUGACCCUUACCAACCGGGACUAAUGCUCAGUUUUCUACCAGUGGAGGGCUACUCCCACAUGCUGUGACAUCAAAUUGCAACCUCCAUAUAAGAACCUCUUGGAACUUGUUCUGUCCGGUUCUUUUAGUUUGAAUUGUAACCUCUUUAUUCUGGAAAUAACCGGGUCAUCUAGCAGUUCCAUUGAUUUGUUUUGCAGCUCUUCAAGAUGCCAAAAUGUACGGUCAGAUUCUUUCCUAGGGCUUAUCUACUAUAUUAAUUGUUGCCUUAUUCAUCGCUUUGUAGAUUUAUCCUCAAAAUAACCCUAAAUGAAUGACUUAGUUUCUUGAGCUAUUGAUCUAAUUGUCCACGACCGAUGUGUUAUUAAUUUUCAUUUCAUUUGGGUCCUAUUUUCAUUCAAUACCUUGUGCAUACAAAAUCUUGCUCUUAUUGCAAGAAUGAAGGUCACGUGGCAAAUGACUGCCUUGGAACAAAAGUGAGACAAAUUUGAUCAUUGGAUGUGAUCGAAUAGGGCAAGGCUAUCUAAUGAAGGCUAAGAUCAGUCCUAGUUUAGUUUAUUAAACUUUCCAGUUCAUUUUCAUGACUGCUUGGAUGUCCUUUUCCGUGCUGAGUAAUUGCAAAAGAUGGAAGGCAAUACAAAUACAAUCUUUGGCAGUAUGGAGGUGAGGUCAACUACAAUCUAUACUGACCAUUUGCUGCGGAGGAGGAAGAAGAAGAUGCAUAAACGGAAGCCCACAGAACCUAACUGAGCAAGCUGCCGAGUUGUCAAGUUGCAAAGGGGCACCAUCUUAUGCCUUGCAUGCCACCUUCAAGGCAUAGAAACUCCUGUCGAAAAGGCGGAUGAAGCGGUAACAUUUUAAAAUGCCACAAAAAAAAUUCUCCUUAAUUUCUUUUUUCGGGAGGCUUCGAGUGUCUUGUGAGAAUAUUUUUAUUGGUGUCAAUUUAUGUUCAGAUGAAGCUGCACUGUUCCAAUAAGCACAACACCUUUAGGAUACCCUGGGAGAAAAUGUUUUUCUUGUUUAUCUAGGAUGUAGAGAGACAUCAGCUUGCAUCAGUACAUAUUCCAUAGAAUUUGAUGUUAUGGUAAAUAAAUAAUUUUUCCCCAAUGGCAGUGUUGAUGCGAAAACGCACCGCGCCAAAUACUUGAGCACUGAAGAACGUGCAGUCCGCAAAGACACUUCUUGUUGUGUCGAUGUGGAAGCUGGUCAGACCGGUAUGGCAGGCCAGUUUGGAUCGGUCUCGCCAGAGAGCUCGGCAAGGAUCCAACGAAUGCCCACUCGGGAGGGACCCCAUCGGGGCAGGAACACCUUGGUUGCCUAGCAGGACAGCUAGGGCACCACCACAUGCUAUGUAGACAGGAGAUUGAUUUUUGAUCGAUUGGAUACCCUCAAUCGACCAUAGCCCUUUAUAUUUAUGGAAAGGGGAUGUCUUACCCAUUAAGAUUUCAAACUCUUACAAAUCCUUGUCAAAAUACAUCUCCUAAUCAACUGGUUCAACCGCCCUAUGAAACUAGUCUGACCGGUUUUCCAAGAUCUUCCCAAAGUCAUAAUCCUUCAUCUGAACUCCAAAUUAGACGUUCUAUAUAUCAUUUUGAUUGUCUUGAUGAGAGAUACGUAAUGGUGAAGUCUAAUUUGCAAUUUGAGCAAUUUAUGUAAACCGAUCUGAUAGGUUUAGAGACUGGUUCGCUCAGAUCAAUUUUGGUCGUCAACAGGUAGCAAAAAUGAACGUAAUAUUGGCAUUUCAUUCAUACAUGUUCUUGCUGUUCAUUGGUGACUUUAAAGGGCAGCCUUUAUCUUUAGUCCUUUUUUCUGCACAUUGUGUACCUUAUGCAAUUAGUGUACAGUUGUAACAUGCAUUUGACUCCUGAGCACAUAAUUGGCAUUAGAGCCUGCUAUAUAUCAUGUCUGUUGUUUUACUAGAAAGAAAACCUAGAAACUUUUGGUUUAACUCAUAUUUACACAACAUACUGCAAUAGUUGGAUUGUAGUGUUAGAUGACUUUAUUUGUGAAAUAAAACUGCAGUAUGCGCUUAAAAACCAAUAUGAAAUUGGAUUUCCAAAUGAGAAUAGACAAAAACCUGCUUAUGGAAAUCAAAUUCCGAGCGAUUCAUUGAGUUGCAAGUGAAAUGCAUUUCCUCGUGGUUGCAUCUCAGUGUGUCCUGUUACAAACAAUAGGCAAUAUAAACGAUGAAGAACAGCAGAUGUAACAUAGGGGACACGAGAUUUUAACGUGAAAAACCUUCCAAGGAGGAAGAGAAAAACCACGGGCACCAGCCAGCAAAUCUUCACUAUAUUGGGCGAGGUUACAAAUGCCGGGAAUUUAUAAGUUUUGAACUUAUCUCAAACCGGCGUAUAAAGAGGUGGAAACCUAAUCGGUAACGAUCCGUACCCCCCGCGGUAUCACUAUAUCAGCCCAAGCCUACCGGCGACGGGCCUCGCUUCGCUCUGUCCGAAGUCAGCCUUUAUCUAUAUAUAACUGAAUUUGGAUCAUAACUCAACAUGUUCGGUAGUCCAUGUGCGCAAUGUGCAUCUCAGUGUGUAUUCAGUCUAAAAAUCGGAUCUGGCUAGGCCGUGGCUGCACAAGGCGGCAUUGCGGUGCUGUGUACAAGUGUAAAAAGGUGCUUGGUGCGUGCUGGUGUCAUGCGGUAGGUGAUGAGCACGAAUGCGGGUGAAAUUCUAAGUCGUUUUGUUUUUCUAAAUACAUACAAAACAUAACCUACUACUAUUACUAUUAGGUGAUGAGGCGGGCUAGGGGAAGGCAACUAAUAAUAGGACGCGACAAUGCCGUCAUGAUAUCAGUAGAGAACUGACCUUCCAUCCUACGGGAGAAGUUUUAGUCCCGGUUGAAAAGAUCUGAUAGAGACAUCCCUCUUUUAUCCCAAAUGGAAAUUCCAACCGGAAUAAAAGACCCCCUUUUAUCCCUGUUGGUAAUUCCAACCGGGACUAAAUAUUUUGUCCCGGUUGGAAUUAACAACCGGGACUAAAGGAGGUCUUUUGUCCUGGUUGGUGGCUCCAACCGGAAGAAAACAUCCCCCCCACCCCCUCCCCCUCUCUCGACAUUAAAUCGACACAGGAUCGUCCUUAGCCGCACAGGCGCACAAGUACUCUCUCCUCCUCUCCUCCCUCUCUCGUUCUUCCUUAUCCUCUCUUCUUCGUUCCACGCAGGCGCAUAGGUGCAGAGGCGGGCGCGAGCGGGGCCAAGGCGGCGUGCGGAGCGGGCGAGGAGGCUGGGGAGCCGCCGGCGGGAGGAGGCCAGGGAGGUGUGGGCGGUGCAGGGUGGCCGGCGGGCGUGGGCCCGAUGGACUUGGGGUGAGGUGAAGGCGACUAGGAUAUGGCACGGAGCACCAUGGUGAUCAUGACGUGGAGAACUCUUGGGACAGAGAACGAUCUUGAUUGCCAUUAUUGGUCAUCAGGACCGAAACCAGUUCAGUGGUGUACAUACCGACGAAAUUUCAGAACAAACUAUAUAACUAGAACACUCAUUUCUGAGUCAGUGCAAACACUCUACUAAGAACUACCGCAAGAAGUUUGUUGGAACGGACAGACACUAGCUCCUCCUAUAGACAGGAGAGGACAACAGGUGGGAUACCGAAGAAUCUAUUGCAGGGUUAGUUCCAUAGACGACCCACCAUGGAUCAUCGGAUCAGAUCAUCAGGCGUGGCCGUGCUGGUCCAGGAGCAGGCGCCACCAGUCUGUAAGAAAGCCAAUCGAACGUAUAGGACCAUCAGAAAACCCACGAGGCAAUCUAGGCACAAGAAGAAGAAGAAAAAGAAGAAGAAGAAGAAGAAGUGGAGAUUAUUGGUACCGCGGUCGCCCUGCUCGUGCAGAUACAGGAAGUGCAGGCCUGCCUCUCGAAGUGUCUUUGACCUGACAACACAACCCUUGCGUUUGCACAGAUAACCGCCUUGGUGUUUUUUCUUGCAGUGGUCCUCGAGCUGUGAACCAAUGCAACCACCAAUAAUGUCAGAAACAAGAAUGCUUGCUGCUUUCUUAUUAGUUGAAGAACUAGGAAGAGAGGGAUUCCUACGUACUCCUGUUUCUCUGUCGAAGCACCUCACCAACCCUCGAUGGAGGAAGCAGAUUUCACAAAUUUCUUUGUCCUUCUUGCCGAGCAGCUCCUCUGCUCGGCUCUGGCAAAGCUUGGCGUAAGAAAGGGCGACGUCGUCGUCGUAGUCCUGGCGCUCCCGGAAGAGCUCGGCGAGGCCGUAUGCGGGAUCGCACUGCAACCAUUCGUCACAUCGUCAUUCAACAGAAAGCAGUCGAGAUUCGAGAGGACACGCAACUACGCAACGCAAGAAACAGAGGCGGUCGAAACCAAGAAAGCGGCGGCGGCGAGACGAGGAGGGGAGAAGGAAACACGCCGGCGAAAAAUCCAAGAAAGUACCGGAGACGGAGAGCGACGCGGACCCCUUCCCUUCGCCUUCUUCGCCUCUUUCGCCUUCCCCUGCUUCCUGGGCGCGGCGGCGGGGUUGUUGGGCGCCACGUGCGCCCCGUGUUCGGCGUGCGCCGCGUCGGGGCCGGGCUCCUUAGCGCUGCCGGUGGCGUUGCCGUCGUCGUUGGGGACCUCCUCGCCGCCCGCCGCAGGGCCAUGCGCCACGUUGGAUGCGGCGUCGGGGCCGGGAUCCCCAGCGCUGCCGGUGGCGUUGCCGUCGUCGUUGGGGACCUCCUCGCUGCCCGCCGCAGGGCCAUGCGCCGCGCCGGGGCCCUCGUCGUCGCCGUCGUCAGCGCAGCCCGACGAAGCACGGCGAAGGAGCCGCCGCAGCCAUGCUGCAGCGACCCACCGCAGGAACCGCUCCCCGCCGGCCUCCACCAAGUCGGCGAUCCACUCCUGGAUCCUCGCCAAGGGGCCCUGAAGCGGAGGCGGAGGGGGAGGCGGAGACCGCUGCCGAGCCCGCGCACCGUGGCCCUGCUUGCGGCGGCCACGCGCCAUGGUGCCUUGGCGAGCGCGAGGGCGCGGGCGAGGAGAGCAGAGAGCUCCGGCGUGGGCUUCCUCGGGAAGAUUGGUGGUUAGGAAGGAAGGCAAGCACGUGGGAGGAAGAGGGUUCUAGCUUCGGGGGAGGCGGGUGGGGGAACUAUAUAUUUGAAGGAUUGAAUUGAUGAGUUAGGACCACAAUAAUGACUGGCUAGCCUCAAAUUUACAUCCUCCCAGGUGAGUUGGAUCUUCUAGCAUCAUACAAUAUUGCCAUGAAGAUAAGCAAGAUGUUGGCACGCUCUCUUAUAAUGGAGUUGAGGUAGAUUGAGGCUGAGGGGAAGUGUCUUGCUGCACUUGCAGAACAUCAUGACUAUGUCAAGUUCAAAAUUCCUAAACAUCUAUUCCAUACUAUCUUGCUAGGCCUAACUAAUAUACAAGUAAAUAUUGUUUUUGUAUUCGUCUGUUGAUUAAGCAUUGAUUAUUUUAUUUUACAUUUAUGAGAGAGGGUGUCUUAUGAAACUCCUGAUGAUGAAGAUGAUGACAUCGAAAGUUAUUUUUUCUGAACAUUUAAGUACUGUUAUCCUAGCUAGAUUUCCAUUUCUAUGCAUAGUUGACCCAACAAUGAUGAUUUUACUUUCAGGGUACUCUUUGAUGAUGAAGUUGGUGAUAACUACGGUUUAGUCGACCACUUGAUUUCGUAGUUGCACUAGAACCAAUGUCAUCUUUUGUGUAAACUAACCAAUUGUGCAUGCAAGACAAACCGUGAGCUUAGUUUGGUCGAUGCUGAUGAAGCACUUGUGAACUGUCAGGUUUUGUAAAAAGAGUUGUCGAUUGACCUAUAGGCUAUGAACGCUCAUUGCAGCAAUGCACAAAUUUAUGAGUCAAGUUUAGUUAAGCCAUCUUUUAUGCUCAUCCUUUUGUUGUGUGACGUUCUUGAACAAGUGGAUAUUUUAGUUUGAUGUGAAGGUUCUACAUGGUUCUACAUGGUGCUGAUUUUUACCCUUGAUUUUCUACAUGGUUCUACAUGGAUAUUUUUACAAUUUUGGUGUUUUCUAUCACUUUAUUUUUACCCUUAAUCUCUUCAACCUUUCUGGUGAGCACCACGAGAGAUGGGUGGGUACCAGGUUACGUUGGGUAAUGGCCAUGGAUUUAUUGAUGAGGUUACCGUGAGAGAUAGGUUUAAUGAUAAGGUUACUGGGCAGGCAGAUUAGCCUCACAGUCACAGUGAUGGGGAGGUUAGCACGAGCGCAGGAAGGUGAUAUAGCGGUUAAACACUUGUAGGGGAGAACUAGGAGCAAGGGCCUCUCUCCCUAUUGAAUGUACUUAGUCGAUACGGAGUAGGUUGUAUUAGUUUGAUACUGAUAAUUUGUUAUGAAAUAUAAAUUCCAUCCUUAACUUGCCUAAUAAAUACAAAAAAUUUCAGCAAUAACCAAACAAACCGAAAUAUCUAUCUAAACCUAGAUGUUGUUUUCCAUCCUUAACUUGCCUAAUAAAUACAAAAAAUUUCAGCAAUAACCAAACAAACCGAAAUAUCUAUCUAAACCUAGAUGUUGUUUGGUUCUCUAAAACGUAACGUAAUUUUAUUACAAAGGGUAAGUCUUAUUGUUACAUCUAUUUGUUUGCAACAGUCGAUAAUCCGCUAACGCGUAAUUAGAUCCCGAACCAGUACGUGCCCAAUACCGCUCCUCAACCACCCUAAUAAAAAAAAUCUGAUUGUAGUACGUGCCGGGGAUGCAAUAGCGUUACAUUAGUAAACCAAACAAAGACAGAAUUAGAGUGCAAUCUGAUUACAUUUUCAUUUACGUUACCGCUCGCCGAACUAAACACAUCAGAGUGACGAAACUUUAACUCCAGGGGCAGGGGACUCCGCUGUAGCCGGCCCAACCCAAGCCUGCACUAUCACAAAGCCCACCUCCUUCUUCCCCCACGACUCGUCCCUGUCUCCUCCUCGCACCCGGCCCGUGGGCAUUCCACUUCCAGUGCUCUCCUCCCCGCGGCAGCAAGGGCAACUGCUCCGGCGUGACCGACCCUCCCAAUCCCUGCUGCCCACGCGCGCAGCCCUCUCCUCGCCGCCACGAUGCGGUUUGACCUGGAUGGCAUGCCGGUUCACUUCCCAUACGCGGUGAUCUACCCAGAGUAGCACGCGUACAUGGGGGAGCUCAAGCGCGCCAUCGAUGCACGCGGGCACGCGCUGCUCGAGGUGCCCACGGGCACCGGCAAGACGGCGACGCUGAUCUCCCUCAUCACCUCCUACUCCCUCGCCAACCGGUCCCGCCCGCUCCGCCUCAUCUACUGCACACGCACCAUGCACGAGAUGGAGAAGACCCUCGCCGAGCUCCGCCUCCUCUUUGCCCACCUGCCUCCCGCUGCCUCCCGCUCCCUCCUCGCGCUCGGUCUCUCCUCCCCCAAGAACCUCUGCGUCCACCCGCAGGCGUCCGCCGUCGCGGCCCGGGACUCCGCCGCCUCACGGCCUCCUGGGUCCGCGAGAAGGCCGCCUCCGAUCAGACACAUCCCUCAUGCCGCCAGGGGUGUACACCCUCGCUGACCUCCGCGACAAUUGAAGCCGGCGUGGAAUUGAUUUGAGGGAUUGUACAGAAGCAUGUCACAAGUCGGCCCAACUAAGGUUGAUAAUCAUGUUCCUCCUGGCCGUUGCCCGCUAAGCUGCGGUUUCCCCUGCCACCGCCUACUGUGCCGGCGGCGCAACGACGACUCACUGCACCGUCUUGCACACUCCGCUGAUGCCGUCGUGGCCCCGCCCUUCCCGAAAAAUCUCUCCGGCCAUCACGCCCUUCAUGCCGACACCACCCACCACCGGUCGCAGGCCACCCGCUUGAGUUGGGUUUAGGGAUGGAAAUGUGGAAAUGGAUAAUCCGUAUCCACUAAAACGACAAAUAUGGAUAUCCGUAUUCGUAUCCAAAUUUAACGUGGUACUAAAAUGAAUAUAUCCGAAUUCGUUUUUCUUAAUUUUCUCUAUCCGAUUCCACAUUCGAAUUCAAAAAUACCUGACAAUAUCCGUAUCCGACCAUAUGAAACAAUUAGUUAUAUCUAUAACUAAUGGUAAAUUUAUCAUUAAAACUAUUCAAGAUUUAUCUUUAUAACUAAUAGUUAAUUAUAUUAAUUUUAUUAUUACUAAUAUUGUACCCAUAAAACUAUUUAAAAUUUAUCUCUAAUUUUUGUGACCAAUGUCAUUAAAUUUAAUAAUAAAUAUAUGUGCAUAUUAAUUUUAUUUUUAAAUACUCUAGUUUAUUUAUCAAUAAAAAUAUUUUUAUACAAUUUUUUAUUAUUCAUUGAUAAAUUUUUAUAUUUAUUGAAAUAUAUAUUUAUCCAUAUAUUAUUUUUUUCAUAGUUUGCACUAUUUCAAAUAUUUAUUAAUUAAUGUAAUAUUUUCAUAAGCGAUUUUUGUUUGCACUAGUUAGUUAGGUACUCAUACUUUAGUGUCUACUUGUAUAAAAGUUUUGUUAUUUAAAACCAUCAACAAAUAAAAUUGGCAAAUGUUAUCUUCAAAUCGAGUAAAUAUCCUUUGGGUAUCCGAAUUCGAGACAUUCAUUUUGUAUUCGUAUUUGAAAACAUCCGAAUUCGUAUUUAUAUUCGACUGAAAAUGUGGUAAAAAGUGCUAUCCGGAUCCGAUUCCAUGCGAUCCCUAGUUGGGUUACCGUCGCGAGUUUGACACCAAUGACUUUUCGGAUUCAAUGUAGAGUAACUUCUCUAAAAAAAUAACUGGUGCAUGUAUAUGGUAACAUAUUAAUAAGUUCUCACGGAAAAUUGGAUGAUGUGAUUAAUUGGAUGAUAAGCAAGGUCCUUCUCCUUGGUAAUUGUGCCUUUAUGAAAUAUGUCUAUCAAAAGAGAAUGGUGGGAGUAGUUCAAAGAUCAUUUCCACAAGACACGUAGUUCAAAUGCGAAGGAAUUCCAAAACAUAGACACAAAUAUAUUUAAGUUCUAAGAAAGUGUAUAUUAUUGCAUACAUUGUAAAUAAUUUUAUUUCAUGAAUAAACAUACUAAAUAUUGAUUAUAUUAAAUAUUUAUGCAACAAUGACAAAGUUAUCUAUUUGUCACGUUAGAACAUUCUUGGGAGGAUGGAAUUGAAAUGAAUAUUGUGCUUUGGAAAGAACUCAAAUUUAGGGAGACUAUUACCUCAGUUUCUAAUGUUUUUCGGGGAAGUUAUUAGGAUGUAUUUCAAUUCCCAACUAAUUUUUGACUCUGAGGAACAUCUGACUUUUCUCUUCAAUUUUUCAUAUGUCUUAGAUGUGCAAAUCUUACAUAUAUGUUCUUUCAUAAUUUACAUAUCAUAUUUACAACACAUGUAGUUGAUAUGCAAAGUAAUUCCAGGAAAUAGGCAAAAACACAUACACUUCUCAUCUGAACUCCGAAUCGGGUGUUCUAUAUAUGCAUUUUGAUUGUCUCGAUGAGAGAUACGUAAUGGUGAAGUCCAAUUUGCAAUUUGAGCAGUUUAUCCAAAUCGGUCUGAUCGGUUUAGAGACCGGUUCGCUCAGAUCAAUUUUGGUCGUGAAAAGGUAGUAAAAAUAUCAAUUCCUUAUGGAACGAAAUAUUGGCAUUCCAUUCAUAUGCUGUUCAUUGGUGACUUUAAAUGGCAGCCUUUAUCUUUAGUCCUUUUUCUGCGCAUUAUGUACCUGAUGCAAUUAGUGUACAGUUGUAAGAUCCACUUGACUCAUGAGCACAUAAUUGGCAUUAGAGCCUGCUACAUAUCAUGUCUGUUGUUUUACUAGAAAGAAAACUUAGAAACUAUUGGUUUAACUCAUAUUUACACAACAUACUGCAAUAGUUGGAUUUAGUGUUAGAUGACUUUAUUUGUGAAAUAAAACUGCAGUAUGUGCUUAAAGCUGUUCAAAGUGGCUAUAUUCAUUCUCCCAGGUUGAAUCCUGCCCUUUUAUUUUUGUAGUAACUUGUUUGCUUGUGCGAAAAUGUUUGCCAUCUGUGGUAGCUUGAAAGGGGAGACAUCCUUUAUCUUUAGGACUCUUUCUGCCUGUUAUGUAGCCUAACCUGAUGCAUGCAAUGUGUAGGAUGAACACGCAUUUUUCUCAAGAGCAUAUUUUUGGCAUUAGACCCUAGUCUCAAGUACGAUGAUACUCUCUGGAAAGAAAACCUAGAACUCUUUAGUUUAACUGUUAUUUACACGACAUGCUAAUGUGGUGAAGUAUAUGGAUCUUAUAAUCUUCUCAUCCACUGGGACAUUGGAGUCCUUUGGUACAACACAUGUACAAGAGACAUUGUAGUUUGAGGAAGUUUGAGUUUAUCUACAGUAUAGUAACUGACAGUGUUUAGCGAAGGUCCAUGUCAAACACUCUCUCUCUCUACACUGGUUUUGAGUUUGAACAUGAGUAGAUGAUUUUGUCACCUAUCUUACUAUGUGUUGUUGCAAUGAGGAAAAUAGUGGGGACUAUAGUAUCCGUUGGGCUGUAUUGCUCUUGGUUUAUGUGCAAAUUUGCUGCUUUCUUCAGACAAGCAAGAAAUUUGGUAUUUGUUGUUGGCACUACUCAAGGAAAGCUAAAAUUGAUGAGGGAGUUUGGUGGUUUCCUCCAACGGAAAGCUAAAAUUGAUGAAUUUGUUUGGUUUUCUCCAAAGUCCCAUUGUUUAAUUUGUCAGGCGAGCUCUCUAUCUGCACUGAUAUGUAUAGCCAGAUUGAGUGUAAUUUUUGCCUUUCAACCAUUAGCUAGAACAUAUGCCAUCAUACUUGGAGGAUGUGACAGCCUGAGUAAUUAAGAACCUAAAUCAAAUAAUCAACAGGGUGAUUAAGAAGCAAAUCAAAGCUAACUCGGAAUUUUUGAGAGUAAGGUCUAAAAAUACGACAUAUUUUGAACCAAGUGUUAAAACUCCCUCCUGUUGAGAAUGACUUGUGAAGCAAAUAAAAACAAAUUUUAUAUAGUAACUUAAAUCUUGACCAAUAUACUAGUGGUAGAACUUCUCAAGUUGAACACCUUCCACUCACAUCACUUCUUCUGAUUUUGAGUAGAGGAUGUUCCAAAAUCGAGUAGACGAUCGGUCAAAUUUCAAAUCCAAUUCCAAAAUAGCUUUGACCGACGCUCCACCAAAGGUCCUACCAUCCUAUCUCCAACUUCAUCGAGCUUUUCCUUGUUGAUCUUUAUAAAAUUCAUAGCAGAUAUCCUGUUCCCGAACCUUCACUUUUGGAAAUCAAACCGCGUAGUUCAAACUUGGUGUGAAAACACAUGUUAUACACGACACCUUCGUCACGACACACAUCACGAGCACCAGCAUGCAUAAUUAAGCAUCAUGAACAUCGUUUUGUGCAUAGUUGACCGUUAUGAGCAUCAGUUGUGCAUAAAUGAAUGUUUCGGCCAUGCAUUGUUAAGUGCCCAGAAUUUUGGUAUUUAUUGGUGAAAAAUCAAAUUUGUGAAGGAACCCCAAUUUCUUCCAUACCACUGUACCCCCAAAUAUUUCAUUCAAAUACUAGACACCAUUUAGUGAUUUUACAAUAUUUUUACCAAAUUUUUCAGUGAUGUUUUCUUGGGUUAAAAAUGCAUUUAAUGUUCAAUUUUAGCUUUUUUGUUUUGACGAUUGUGUGCAAACAUAAAAGCUUUUGAGUUUAUUUCCAACGAGUAUUUUUGGGUAAUUUUUUAACACCUGUAGCUAUUUCAAAUAAGGGAGCAAAGUUGGCACGUUUUAUUUCUUCGCGGACCCACGCGUCAGCACUUCUCCUUCCUCACGUCACCAGUUGCAAAGCAGUUGGCCUGCAGGGGCCGAGCUCCACCUGGCCGGUGCCCAUGGUGGCUUCCCUUCUCGCCAAUCCUUGCGCCCCAUGGUGAGUCACUCCGUCCGUUCUUAUCCUCACCAUCCUCCUCCUAUAUAUAAAGCCCCCAACUCUCCCUCCUCCAAUCUCCAUUAACAGAACACCGAGCUCCACUUUUCCCCAAACUUUGCUGGCGAAAUCCGCCGCGGUUAGUGCAUCUCCGGCCGAUUCCUUGCAGCCACGGCGCCUCCUCGACGUCUCGAUUCCGUUUUGCUACUUCCCGGGCUCCCUCCCUCACCGGACGACGCCCUCCACGGGAGCUCCUCCGCCGCCUCCUUCGUGCGUCGUUCCUCCCUGUGCGCCGCCCUCCUCCAAGUGCCUGACUCCCUGCUGGUGUGCUCCCUGGCCCAAGGUGCCGCCCCUCUCCCUUCCCAAGCUGCCCCCUCUCUUUCUCCCACCUUCAGCCCAAGGCCAUGGCCGGUCCGGUCGUUUUCUGUACGGUGCGUGCUUGUUUAUGUGCGUGGGGAAGAUUUGAGAAGAAGAAGGAAGUGUAGGGGGUUAUGGGGAAGUUUCAGGAACUUUUGCGCAAUUAACUCAUUGACAUGGGGGCUAGAUUGAAAGUUUGUCUCGGUUUUUUUUCCUAGAUCUAAAAUGGCUGCAACUUUGGAAAUUCAUAGUAAAUUGUAGAAAAAUCAUAAAAUAGCAAAUGAAGAUGUUUUGGAAUCCUUGUGAGAAGAGUUAUGCAAUAGAGUCAUAAUAUGAUAUAUGUUAGUAGAAAGUUUCUGAUGUGAUAAGGGGUACGUAUGAAGCUAAGUUAUGAUAAGUAGUGGUUAAGCUUUGAAGUUAACUCAUAUGUAUGCUCUCAUGUUAAUAUAACAGCUACUUAUAUAAGUUUUUCACCUUUACUUUGAUUCUUGCUUAAGGUAUUUAGGGUGUUCCAUGUUACCUAAGGCUAAUGCUAAUUAACUAUGUCCAUAGUAGUUGUGAGCUAUGUGUUUAACUUAUGCAUAUGUUACCAUGUUAAAGAACUAAAUGAAGAACCUUGUUGCAUAUGUGCUGAAAUGGCUGCUAGAGUAGUUUCUAUUGUGGUAAUAUUUUCGAGAUGAUAAUGAUAUUUUCUGUAAAUAUGGUGAAUACAAAAGAUGUAGGUAACUUCAUAAUAUAGCUUGUGUUAAAUUUUCAUCACCAUAAGCCUGAUGGUUUAGGAGCUAUAGAUUUUACAAGUUCAUUGUCAGGUUUUGCAUGCUCUAUGUAUAGGUCUGAAUGAUUGUGUUUUUUGACUUAGCUAAGCUUUGUAUCAUAUCUUGGAGAUAAUAUAAGAAGUGUAGGGUUUUUCAUGAGCUUUCCAAACUGUUAAAGAUCACCCCUUUUGGUGGUCUAAAUCUCCAGUUAUGAGCUUGUGAAAUGGAAUAACAGAAUCUGUCCUAAAGUGGACCGAGAUGUCUUCUUUGUAAUGUUUGACCUGGUUAACUUUAGUUUUAGCUUGUGGUGUUUAUAAAAAAGUUGUGAAUGGUUUGUUAAGCCUUCUAAAGAGUCUAGAACGACCUUGUUGUGAAAGCUAGAACUCAACUUAUGGGUGUCUAAAGUUUAAUGUCAGCAUCUGUCCAAGUUUGGACAGAUUUGCUUCUUUGUGUUUUCUAGUCUUGUUAACUGUUGAAUCAUCUUGAUACAACAAUAAUAAAGUUCUAUAUAAUUUAAUAAGGUUUCUACCAAGUUAAUAAUCAUGGUUGUUGGAGGUCUAGAACUCCAGAUAUGCAUCUGUGAAGUUCGUGUCAGUUUUCUAUCCUUAUUUGUACAGAUCUGCUCUUUGGUGUGUUUUCACCUUGUUAUUUGUCGAAUCAGCUUUUGGUGUGAGUAACAAAGUUUUAGAUAAUUUUCUUAACUUUAAAGAAAGUCUAGGAUCACCCUUUUUUGAUGCUUAUAUCUCUAUUUAUGGUUAAUACAAGUGACUAUUGUGCUGCUGUCAAGAUUAGGUGUAUGUGCUUAAUGUUAUUAGCUUUAACUUGAUGUUGCCUUGUGUGCUGGCUAGUUAGCUCAUAUCAUUAUUAGAGUUAAAUUGAUCUACCUAAGAAUCUUAUAAAUAUGUUAUAUAAUGUUGGUCAAGCACUUAGCUACUAAAUGGUCAUGUAUGCAUGUGGCUACAAAAUAACCUUGCUGCAUAGCUCGCUAGAACCUUAGUGAUGUUGGUGCGUGACUUGCUUGUGUAUGAAUUGUUUAAAAAUAAAUGUAAUAUAAUUUAUACCUGGAGGAACUUUGGGGUUACUUAUAAUACAUAUAUUAAGAAGCCACAUGUAUGCCAUACAAUAUGCGUUUUCCCAGUGUGAGAGAUGAGAGGACCACAUAGAAAGGGUACUAAUAUAUAUAGUUAGUUUUUUUUUACAAAAUCUGCAUGGAUGCAGAAUUGACCAAAGCACAUGCAGGUUUAAGUCUGGAUGAUGGGCACUUCCAGGGUUGGAUCCAGCAGGGGCUUGGAUCGAGGAAAGUGACAAGAGCACUCAAGCUCUAAUAACCAAUUGGUGGGACGGAAACAUGGAAGCCUGGUGGCAUGUGGUGUAAUGAACCGGCCUUGGAAAUGAAUUAGCAGGGGUGGAUCCUGUUGUUGCCUUUUUAAAAUAUUACUUUCGAUUUGGGGGGCAUGGUUUCUAUAAUGUAGUUUUUUUAUUUCUUUUCUUAUUAUUUGCUGAUAGCUGAUCUACAAGCAGGUUGUUGGGCAUCGAGGCAUGACGACCAGUAAUAUAUGAACGAGGCUAAUUAGUUAUUACAAAUAGUUAAUUAAAAUUAAGGAUACAUUAGUUAUUGUGAAUAAAAAAUUAUUUCUCUUGUUUACUAGUGCCCCGUUAUCACUGCCAACCCAAGCAGCUGAUUCUAAAAACUGACACAGAAGAAACCAUAUCAAAAUCAUGGAAAAUGGAUCAUUGACUGUCUCGGACCAAUAUCUAGCACCCGGCAAUGGAGAGGAAUGGAUCGGAGUCCUUCGCAUAGCUUCCUGCCACUGAGUACAAGACCACAGGGUGAUAAGGCUGUGUUAAAUGAAUGGUAUACAUGCAUAGAAUGGUUCACUUUGAAUGAGAUGAGCCAGCACAGGAAGAUGGUACAAGCUAAGCAAGUACCAUUUUUGUUUAUCUGUAGUGUGAUACAUGCUUCUAUUUGUUUGCUUGUAUGGAAUGGUAUGGGCUCAUACAAGAUCAUGUUUGUUUGGAUAGGGAUGGAUUAGCCUGUUAUUAACCUAACUUGGUGAGCUUUAUCUCAUGUAUUGCUUUAUUGCGUAUCUUUUUAUAAUAAGUCUAUUUCUCCAUAUAAUUUGUGAACAUUAUAAAAUCUGAAUGUGCAAGACAUAAUCUAGUAUUUCAAAUUUAUUGAUACAUGGAAAAAAAAUCAAAUUCCUUAUGCUGAAUGAAACGAAGACAAAUACCAGAUAGGAGAUCUCAAGUACUUAUAUGUCUAUAAAAUACCAGAUUAUUAUCACCUCACUGUUCUUGGUACGUCACCAAACAUAUGUUUAGCUGGCAUAUAAGUGGUGUUUUACUUACAAUGACUUUCAUGAAAAAGAUCUAGUGAUGGACCAAGCAGAACUCCAUGUUUGGAAUUGAAGAACCUAAUUCAAUAAAAGUGAAGGACAAAAGUAAAAUGACAACUGUAGCAUAGGGAAAGUGGCAUAAAAAAUAUCAUUGUGAAAUAUCUUGUGAUAUCUAAUUGUGCGAUGCCAAACUCAUUCUCCUGAGAUUCGGAACUAGCCACACAGGGGUUGGAGAGUUGGACCAAAGCUGAGGGGAUACAAUUUCCUUGUUCCUAUUGUUUUUCAGGUCAAAUUCUCCAAUAUGUUCGUUCAAAAAAAAAAAAUUCUCCAAUAUCACGCCUAUCGUUCUUGUGACACGUGACAUCAAGAAAGUAAUCAUCAGUAAAGUAGGCAUGAUUUGGCUUCAGUUGUGGAUAUUCUUUGGCACAAAGGCAAAGUGAUUGGUUACGCCCAAUAAACAGCACGUUCUCACCCAAGGUACCUACUUCCACUACAAGCUUUUCCGAUGUAAGGUCCACUUUAUGUACUUUGAUCCUGUUGGUCUUGUUGGGCGGCGGCGUAGACAGUUCUAAAAUAGAGUCAUAGUCUUUACCGUUAGAUCUAGUAAUUUGCAGCAGUUCACCAGAUGGAGCUUGAACAAUGUAAACCCUGUCUGAUGCAGACCACUUCACCCGUUCCAGAACUAUCUUCAUUGUAACUGCUGGGGCACAAAGAUCGAACGCAUGGAUUUCUCCUAAUGCAGUGGUGGCAUAUAACAGUCCACCCUGAAAUUGGCAGUCUUCAUAGCAAGUGUGUGGCGGCAACCACGUCCACUCAUUGUCUCCUGCCCUUGCAAACGAAAGCUGACAUUCUGGGUCGUGGAUCAGCACCACGAAGUAGUCCCCGGUGGAUGGAUCUGAAGAUAGAAAGGCCUUGUCGAACAGCAUAUCACGGAGCUCACUGAGAUCAAGGAUUGAUGGCUUAUCAUAGAGCCACUCCUCUCCAGUGUACCACAAGUACUCAUAGUUACAAAGGGUGCCAGCAUCAUCAAAUAUCGGCUCCACCUGCUCGAUGGUUGUGACCGAUGGCAGUGCGAUCUGAUCACCGGUGAUGGGGUUGACAAGCUGCAGCUCAGAUCUCUCGUCUGCGGUGAUUAUCCAGCCAUAGGACGAACCAAUGACCUCCCUAGUUCGGAUAGGUGGGUCCGGGAGAGUCAAUGUGUAUGCCUUCUUCUCAGCGAGGCUGUAUAGACCCAUAGCCCUCUCACCCAUGGAUUCAGAAGUGUACAGGAGGCACGGUGUCCGCUGCAGCUUGCAAUGUUCAGUAGCGCACAGGCUUGUGUAGGCGGCGCGCCACGAGGCACAGACUGAUCCUGCACGUACAAGGCCAGGGGUCUCAAGGAGGGCAAAGAUAUCCAUCAGGAUAUCCUGUGGCAGCCACGGCAGUUCACUGCCUGCAGUAGGUGCCACCACGGGUGAUGGAUGUAGAAACUCAUCUAGCUGGAGUAAUGUCUUCAUCAGUGAACAGGUUGAGGAAGCAAAUAUGUUGGCAAGAGCCCGAAAGAGCAGAUUGCACAGACAGCUAAGGUUCAUCCUCUCGGCUCUGCUGGAUAUGUCCAUCGAAGCAAAUCAAAGCUGGAUCUCUCGCCUUUGCAAGACCACGGAUGAUCGAGUUGCUCCCUGCAACGGGAGACAAAAGACGCUUGGAAUCUUUCGGAGGAGUACAAGGCACAAGCACAACGAGGGCAGGCUCCUGGUUCCGUUCUUAUACCCAGCAACCCCAGGAUCCGAAUUCGACUAGGUUAACGGAAGAUCUGUGUUGUGGAUGUGGAGAUCAGACUUACCCCGUGCAAGAUUCGGAGGUUCCGGAACAUCCACACCGAUUCCGGCUCCGAUAAUCCGAUUCCGCAGACGCGUAACUCAUCGGAGGCAGCGUAGGGCGUAGGCAGACUGCCUCGGGUUUUUCCUUCCCUAAUAUUCUAUGGCCAUCAGACCUCAACCUCGGUCAUCGGCUAUUGCCUAGCGGCACCCCGCCACCUCUCCUCACCACCAACAACCCACUUCUAUCUCCUUAAUCUCUAUCCUAUCCAAAUAAUCUCCGAUCAUCACACCCCUGCGCCCGACGCGGCUCACCACUAGUCAUUAGUCACUUAGGCCGAUGAGGCCCUACCACCUCUCCUUGCCACCCACAAAUAGUGGUGGAACCAUGAAUUUUUUUUUGGGGGGAGGGGCUGGCAAAACAUGAUUGACACCUCGUGCUACAUUUGAUGGAAAAAAUAUAUCAAGAUAUGUUAUACAUGUGUCAUUAAAUUUUUUAAUGCCCCGUUGGGGAGGACUUAUUUCAGCUUGGGCUUCACCUAUUUUUGCGCAAAAUAAGGCACUAUAGCAUGAAGCUAUUUUGUAAGCUGGUGCUAAAAUGAACUACAAGCCGGGUGAAGAUAUUAUUUUUUGCUUCACCGGCUUUGGCUUCAGUGGUGAAGCUGAUUUGGGAGAACUCCUCCCAAAUGGCCCCUAAAAGGUUCACAAUUUUUAGAUUUAGGGUUUCAUGGAGGUAAGCAUUAUGGAAAACUGAAACUUUUAUAUUGCAGUCUCUUUCUGAUCUUAUUGUAAUAGCAUUCUGCAAUCUUCUUAAUUAUAAAAUAAUGUUAAAUGGCUUAAUUCUUUAAUUUUUUGAUUAACCAUCUUUCUUCUUAAAAGAUUAUAACAUAAGUUUAGUUUGCCACAUUACACUGGAUUAAACACAAAAUAGACAUGGUGAUUUGAGAAGACUUGCUAUAUAUAAUGGUCUAUGUGUGAUGCAUAUCACUAUAUCAGCAUAUGUGCACUCCCUGCCUGCCGAGACUGAAGUGCUCGACAUGUAUGUUGCCCGGCGCUAGGACCUUCCAAUUCGUUCUCCAUGGCCCUUAGCCUCGAGUCGAUCAUUCUGCUGAGGCACAGCUAUUUGGCUACUUAUUUCGAUCUUUGUGCUCCAGAAUUACUUGUUGGAUGUUGAAUAGCUAGCUAGUUAGGCAUCACAUGCAUCAGUAUGUUUUGUUUUGGGUAUACUUGAUCACUACUUUGAGUCCUCCUGAUCUUUGAAAGUUUAAAGGAUUGAGCUGAAGUGCAAAAUUUGGUGUGUGUGUGUGUGUGUGUGUGGGGAGGGGGGGGGGGGGGGGGGGGGGUGCUUUUUUGUUUGGCUUUUUUUUCGCAGAUGCUCUUUUUUUCGAAUCGUUAACCACCCGGGAAGAGACACCCCGCCUUUCCCCGCCCCCNNNNNNNNNNNNNNNNNNNNNNNNNNNNNNNNNNNNNNNNNNNNNNNNNNNNNNNNNNNNNNNNNNNNNNNNNNNNNNNNNNNNNNNNNNNNNNNNNNNNUAUCUUUGUUUCUUCUGUAUGGAAAAGAGUAUCUGGGGAGGUUUUUGUGUUUGUACAAGUCAAAAAACCCCACAAAAAAUAUUUUGGCUUUAGUUUCACCCAGAGAGUGGUAAAAAUCCUCGUUUUCUCCCUUUUUAUAAUAUUCCCCCUGGGGGAAAAAAGCGAAGGAAAAGAGAAAGUUUUUCAAAGGGCACAACCUCCCUUUCUUUGCAAAAAAAUAGAUGGGUUUUUUUUGCUUGUAAAAACCAUUUCUUCCCAUUUGACCUAUGAGGGUUUACGUUUUGGGCCUCCCCUAAACCCCCCCAAAGCGAAUGAAAAAUGGAUUACCUUACUCCUCCACCCCCACCUGGUCUUUAAAUGGAGCCCAAGAACACCUUCCUCAUGGGCGAGGGCAUGGGACGGGGCGCUGUCCCCGAGACUGCCUAUUUCCGAUCACUAACCACCCAAGUGAAAGCACCCCAUUGCAUCGCCACGCUGCUGAUAGCACGUGUCAAUCAGACUCCAUUUAGGUACAAUCGAGAUAGAUGCUUGAAGAUUAUUUUUUCAACACAUUUAGUUGAUAGGCAAAGGAAUUUCAAUAAAAAGGCAGAAUAUAUUUAAAUUCUAAAAGAGUGUAUUACUUCCUAUAAACUUAAAUAAUUUAUUUCAUGAUCAAACAUACUAAUCAAGGUUAUAUUAAACUUUUAUGCAGAAACGAUAAAGUUAUCAAUUAGAGAGAAGAGAGUUAAAAAAGCAUGUGAUUUAAUAGGAACACCAAUUAAAGAAAACCCUUGCUGUAGUUAGAUUUUCUUGAUUAACUUUUUGGGGAUUGUUAUCAUGAUGUAUUUUAUUCCUAUCUAAAUUUAGAUUUUUAAAAAAUUUGAGUACUAUUAAAUUCCAUAAACUAGAAAGUGACUACUAAAACUAGAACAUAAAGUAUACAAGCAUUUAAAUUUUCCUUUCCAAAUUUUCAUGUGGCUAAAAUGUGCAAAUGUACUCUCUCUCUCUCUCUCUCUCUCUCUCUCACACACACACACACACACACACACACACACACACACACACAUAAUUCAUAACUAGCAAUAUAUGCCCGUUGGUACGGGUGAAGACUAUAUGCGUAUAUUAUCACACUGCAACAUUAAACAUGCUUUUGUAAAAGUUUGACAUAUUAUACACUAUUUAUGCUAUUUCUUAUAUAAAUAAAAGAGUAAUAAUUGUAGUCCUCCCCGUAAAAAAGAGCAGGGCUAGAACGUGCUUGUAAAGAUCAUAAGGGAUUAAACAUAACUAAACACUAAAUUUCAGUGAUAUUACUCUAAGUAAGAGGACUAUGGGUUAAUUCCUAUAAAAAAGAGGACUGAGUGUUGCCAGCCCGAUUUUUCUUUUAUGUUGGCAGCUAGGUUUCUCUCUAGUUUCAUGCGAAGAAGGCAAAGGAUUCCCCCCGGUUGGAACGGGGUUUCUCUGUGAUCUUGCACACGGAAGGUCGAUUCUCUGGGUUUCAUCUAGCCCAUUAAGCGGCAGGGUCAGCUAGCACUGCCGUUGCCCUCUUCCAUCCGCCCCCUCCAUGCCGUCGGCGGCUCACUGCACAAGGAGCCCAGGAGAGCACGCUCGUCGGAACUAGCUCACUCCCGUACCAAUGCCGUCUCGCCCUCCUUCCUCCGCGACCCCAGUGUGCCCCCGCUCCACCAUCUUGAUAGUUCACCUCCCUGUUACCUCGUCCUGUCUUCUCCAAAUCACUGCCAUCUCAUUGUGCCCUCCUUCCACUACUGGAGAAUUGACCUUUCAUCCUGGUGUUUUUAUCCCGGUAAACAUUGGUGCCUUUAGUCCCAGGUCAAAAAUGAGGCACCGAAAGCCCACCGCCUGUUGGGGAGGGGGGGACGGCUUUAGUCCCAGUUAUAAAGACCAACAGGAUCUAAAUUCCCCCUAGUCCCAGUUGUAACAGCUAAAAAUAUCGCAACGACGGGCGCCCACUUUUGUCCGGGACAAAAGGGGGAAUCUUUUGUCCCGGUUGGAAUUUCCAACAGGGACUAAACCUCCUCCCUAUAAAUCCAACCAGCCCGAAACUCUUUUUCCUUCCCCAGCACGAGCAACUCCACUAGAGACAUCCUCCUCUCCAUGGCGAGCAAGCAACCUUAGGGGAGGUGCUGCCCGAAUUUUUUCCUCAUUUCUGUGGGGAUUUGACUCAUCCAAAGUGUUGUGAAGGUUAGCUACUUUAUCCUCCCUUCAUUUAUUGUUAUUAUACUUUGUUUUAUGAUUUAGAGAGGGAGAAAAAUAAGUUUUUUAGAAUGAGGGAGAAUGGAGAGGAUUUUUAUUUAUAUAUGUUUUCGAGCUAGAAUUUGAUGGAUAGCUUGCUUGUUACAUAUUAUUUGUAUUAGUAAAAAGAACUUGAUCAAUAUUAGGUAUGGGAAAAAAUAGAGUAAAUGUGUGUUUAAUAUUUAGUCAUUGCAAUAAAAUUAAAGUAAAUAAAUUGUAGAUGUAAGAAAAUAGAAUUUGGUCAUUGCUACAAUUUUUCAUGUCACUAUAAUUUAACAAUAAUUGUAUUUCUUUGACCAAUAAUUUAUUUAUCCCAUGUUUAAUGCAAGAACUAAAUACUAUAAAUACACUUUACUUUUUCCCCUUCCUAAUAUUGAUCAAGGUAUUAAUGUAAUACUAAACCCUAUGUUCAUUUUCAUAUGUUGUUCAUGCUUCCAAUGUAGUAACAAGAAGGACUACUCUUCCUAGAGGACUGUUCACAGCCACUUGUUUAGAUACGGUUUCAUACCUAACUAUUUGAUUUGGACCAAGCACGACGAAAGAGGGGCUAUAAUGGAAGACGACGAAGAAGAAGAGGAUGAUAACAACAUUCCAGACUGGGUUGCAGGCCAAGCUUUUGCAGAUACUACAAUGGGCGAGGCUGAUGAAGAUGAGUUUGUAGAAGAUGGCCCUAUUGAUGAUCUUAGUCAGGUGCUACGGGAUGCACACAGAGAUUAUGAAACUGAGAAGGAAUCAUAAAAGUUGCAGCGCAUGAUAGAUGAUCACAAAAAUUUAUUGUACCCAGAUUGCAAGCAGGGGCAUAAAAAACUGGGUACCACACUAGAAUUUGUGCAAUGGAAGGCACAAAAUGGUGUGUCCGAUAAGGCAUUUUAGGGGAUAUUGAAACUUGUAAAGAACAUUCUUCCCGACUUUUGUUGAAUCUUUUUCACAGCUCGAUAGAGAAUUUGAUAAGCCAAUGAUUUUUUUCCGUCUUUCAUAAUACGGUUAACCACCAUGUUAACUAAUCGAUUACGAAAAAUUGGAUCGGAUUUUGCGGUUCUUUUUUCUGCAGUACCUCGACGUGACAUGAGCGUGAAAGAGGUUCAAGAAUCCGUUUUCUUUUUAUAAGAAUGAAUUGCCGUCCACAACAUAUGAAGCUAAACAUGUUGUUUGCCCUCUGGGAUUGGAGGUUCAGAAGAUACACGCAUGCCCUAAUGACUGUAUUCUCUAUCAUGGUGAUGAAUAUGGGAAAUUGGAUGCUUGUCCUGUGUGCGGCGCACUGCGAUAUAGGAUCAUGCGAGAUGAUCCUAGUGAAGUCGAGGGGCAGCAACCCAAGAAGAGAGUUCCCGCGAAGGUGAUGUGGUAUUUCCCUAUAAUACCACAUUUGAAGUGUUUUUUAAGAAACAAAGUGAAUGCUAAGUUGAUGCGAUGGUAUAAGGAAGAACAUAAGCAAGAUGAGAUGCUGAGACACCCCACGGAUGGGGCCUAGUGGAGAUCAAUAAGUAGAGCUUUCCCGAACUUUGAAAGUGAUGCAAGGAACUUAAGGUUUGGUUUAAGUACUGAUGGAUUCAAUCCAUUUGGUGAGUUGAGUAGCGGUCAUAGUACUUGGCUUGUGACCCUAGGUAUGUUCAACCUUCCUCCUUGAUUGUGCAUGAAGUGGAAGUUCAUUAUGAUGCCAGUGCUUAUCAAGGUCCAAAAUAACUCGGCAACGACAUUGACGUGUACCUAAGACUGUUGGUUGAUGAACUUCUACUGCUCUAGAAACAAGAGAGCUUUGACUUACGAGCAUUGUUGUUUGUAACCAUCAAUGAUUGGUCUAGGCUUAGUAACCUUUCAGGAUAGACAAGCAAGGGAUAUCGGGCCUGCACCCACUGUUUAGACGACACAGAAAACUUGUAUUUGAAACACUAUAGGAAGGUCAUGUGUAUAUGGGCCAUCGUCGAUUUCUUCCUGCUAACCACCCGUUAAGAAAACAAAGGGAUGCAUUUCAUAGAGGUGCCAGACCAUCGUAAAAAACCUGCACACCAUACUGGAAAGCGUGCCUUUGAGAUGAUAAAUGAUGUAAGGGUAGUCUUUGGAAAGGGUCUUGGUAGCGAACCUGUUCCGAAUGACGAUAAUGGACGUGCACCCAUGUGGAAGAAGAAGUCUAUAUUUUGGGAGCUACCUUAUUGGGAAAUCCUAGAGGUCUGCAACGCAAUAAACGUGAUGCACCUGAUGAAGAAUAUUUGCGUGAACAUGCUAGGAUUCAUAGGUUAUUAUGGGAACUCAAAAGAUACAUUGGAAGCACGACAGGACCUGAAAUGUACGAAGCAAUGAGAUGACCUACAUCCGUAAAAGAGAGAUAGCGAACAACACUACUGAUGUCCUGCCAGUUACACUCUCAGCAAGGAAGAGAAGGAUAGCAUGUUUGAAUGCUUGAAUAGUAUUAAGGUUCUGUAUCGGUACUCCUAAAAUAUAAAGGGAAUAAUAAAUAUGAAAGAAAAGAAGUUCACAAAUCUCAAGGCCCAUGACUACCACAUGUUGAUGACCCAAUUGCUUCUAGUUGUACUGAGGGGUAUUCUACCAGAGAUUAUACGAUUGGCGCUCAUAAAGCUAUGCGUGUUUCUCAAUGCGAUUUUGCAGAAUGCAAUCGAUCCAACCAAGCGAGUAAAGCUACAGAACGAUGUGGUACAAUGUUUUAUCAGUUUUGAGUUAGUAUUUCCACCAUCCUUCUUCAAUAAUAUGUCGCAUCUCCUGGUUCACUUAGUCAAAGAGAUUACUAUUCUCAAUUCAGUAUUUUUGCACAAUAUGUGGCCUUUUGAGAGGUUCAUGUCAGUCCUAAAAAACUAUGUUCAUAAUCGUGCCCGUCCAGAAGGAAGCAUCGCCAAGGGAUAUGGAACAAAGGAGGUCAUUGAGUUUUGUGUUGACUCAAUUAAUUUGAUUGGGGUUCAACAUCAUGCCACGAGGGGAGGCUGUGGGGAAUGGGGACCCUUUGAAGGAAAUCAAGUUUAAGCAAUGAUACCAAUUUGUUCCACAAAGCACACUUCACUGUUCAACAACAAUCAUCCUUUGUGGCUCCGUAUAUCGAGGAACACAAGCAGAUUCUAUUUUCCCAAUACCCGACGAAAUUCGAUGCCUGGAUUAUACGUCAUCACAUGGAUACUUUUACCUCUUGUUUGCGUCAACACCUUAUGGGUAACUACGCGAUUCAUGAACAACUCGCUUGGUUAGCAGGGGAACCUCCUAGCACAAUCGUGAAACUCGCUUGUUUAGGUCAUGCACGAACACUCUAGGCAAAGUGGAAAUUUAUUACUGAUUUUCUAUACAAGUACACUGGAUGCCAAACAUUAGCAGAAUGCUUAUGUUCCGACAAAUUAGUUCUACUGCUGAUUUUGGUCAAACAACUCCUUUAUGCUCAUGUUAGUUCGUCUUUUGAUUCCAGUACUUAUCUCUGUUCACUAAAUUCACUGUUCCUAUUCUCAUGCUUGUUCAUACCAUGUCCGUAGGAGUGAUACCUUGACUUUUAUGAUUUGUGAAAUCUUCCUUUUCGUAAUCAUGGAUGCCUUUGUAUUUCAAAAGUAAAGGAUGACGAAGUUUUCCAUUGCUUAUUUGAAUCUUCUGUGUUAUGCAUCUAUUCUGGUACUAUAGUUUGCAUAUCUUGCUCGUGUAAUAAAUUUUGCUAUAGUUCUUGCCAUUUUUUGGCAUUCUCAAGAAUAGAUUUGUGAAAUCUUCCUUUUCGUAAUCAUGCAUGCCUUUGUACUUCAAAAGUAAAGGAUGAUGAAAUUUUCCAUUGUUUAUUUGAAUCUUCUGUGUUAUGCAUCUGUUCCGGUACUAUAGUUUGCAUAUCUUGCUCUUGCAAUGAAUUUUGCUAUAGUUCUUGCCAGUGUUUGGCAUUCUCAAGAAUAAACAAAUCAUUAAUGCCUUUCACAGGGUCAAGACUGUUUCAUCUGCAAAAAAGGAGGUCAUAUGGCGAAAGACUGCCCUGAUAAGCACAAGAGGAAUGAUCAUCAAUCCACUUUGUGUUUAAGAUGCGGAGAAAUAGGUCAUGAUAUGUUUGGAUGUACCAAUGAUUACCCGGCAGAUGAUAUUAAGGUGAGUGUUUCUUUCUCUUGUUUUAGCUAAUAUGUUAUCUUGCUAUCAUGGAUUUUUUAUUUGUUGGUAUUUGUUUUUCAUGCUCUCCUCUCUAGUAUUGGUCUGAAGAAAAAUGCAUAUAGAAGAAUGAAAUUUUAGGUAGUUUUUUUUUUCGUUUUUGAGUGCAAAUCGUGUCUGAGCUAGGUGACUAGGCUUUAGGACACAUGAUUCUCUGAACUGGGUAAAUUUUAUGCCGGGUCUUGCCUUUCAGUGGUGGCACGAUCCCUGAAUCUUGCAUGUACAAUUUUGCAAACCACUGGAAGGUGCCCUCUAUGUAAAACUUAACUACUCAUGCAGUGCAAUAGUGUCCAUGUGCAAGUUCAGAUCCACGAAGCUCGUAGUCAUGAAUUAUCUAGAAGAGCUUUCCCCUUAUUAAUGACUGUUUCGGAUCAUGCAGCAAAUAAGAUGCUACAUGUGUAAUCAGAAUGGUCAUCUAUGCUGUUUCGACUUCUCUGACAAUAGCCCCAAACAAAUUAGCUGUUACAAUUGUGCCAAAUCUGGUCAUUCUGGUCUGGUAAGUUUUAAUGCUUAUAAGUUAUUAUUUGUGCUGUUUCCAUAUAUAUGUUGCUUUUCAUGGCAGGUGAUUAACAUUGGGCCUUCUAUUCUAGGGGUGUGCCAAGCAACGCAGGGAAACUAGUGCUGUCAUAACUCCAACCCAAUGCUACAAAUGUGGGGAGGAAGGCCACUUCGCACGUGGCUGCACAAAGAAUGCCAAGGUUGUUAUAAGCAUCUCACAAAUUGUCUGCCAAUUAGAGUUAACUGUGUAUUUAUGCCGUUCUGUUUCUUUUUUUUUUCCAGUCCGAUCGGUCGAAAGGCAAGUCAUCAUCGCACAGUCAGAGAAAGGAAAAAUGGAAAAAAGAUUCCAGUGCUAGAUCGGCUCCUCAUGAUGCCCGUAAAACAAGUAAAAGGAAAAGCCCCCAUUUCGAGGAUAGAAUGGAGAAGCCAUACACGAAUCACCAGUUCUCAUCUGGCGGUGACUACUUCACGCCUCAGUCCUCACGAAGGCACAACCAUGGUUUCGCAUCACCAAACUCGAAUUAUUCACCCAGCGCAAAGAAGCACGGGUUCUCAUCGUCAAGAUUCGCCACCAGCAACACCCAUCUCCGGUUCGAGAGAAGUUAGCUGGACGGAUGAGUCCAAUUUUGUUGUUCUUUAGCUUAAUUGAUUAUUAUUGUCCCCUGGGGAUGAACUCUGCCUGUUGGUUCAUUCCCUUCGAUAGCUGUUUGUCUUUUAAGAUUAUAUAUGUAUCAGGGUUCCAUUUUGUUGACUCUAAGCAAGCUCACUUGGCGUUGUGCUCCAGUUCAUGCCUACUGCAAAGCAGCAAGAAAACAAACCUCUGAACAUCAGACAGUUGCACACACAUUAUCCAUAACCAUCACAACACAAUUCACGACACAUCU
rnacentral:lncRNA from 1 species